CUGGAAUUAUAUUGCUUACAGAAUAAAGAGAAGUCAGAGCCUCUUAUGUAACUUGAAGAGUAGGAAAGAUCCAGUGAUAAAAACCAGUGCCCUGAACUUUUGCAAAGCACGAUCAAUCGCUGCGUACGAUCCUCCGGUCCUUGGCAAGGUAUCCUUCGUCUGGUUUUUGUAGACUAGGAAAAAAAUUAAUGAACCCACCGCUAUUAGAUUGUGUAUUCAUGCCUAAAGGCUGUAAAAAGGGUACUGUUUCAAGUUAGUCCUGUCAUCUAAAAUACAUCCCCUGUUUGCUUAAGUUUUCUCAAUAAUAUUCUUUAAUUUGAUCGCUACCUGUGAAUUUGUGUAUUUCCUCACACAGAACUGAUUCUCCCUCCCCCCUUUGUGUUUCUCUCUUCCUCUCUCUUUUUUUUUUUUUUGCUUAUACUUUUUUGUUUAGAUUAUCUCUCUACUGACCUUUCAGUGGCUUACUUUUUUUUUUCUUUUUUUCUUUUUUUUGCAAUGCACGAGUGAGGCUGGAAAACAGAGCCAAGAUGCAAACUAUGAAUCAGCCGCUCAGCUUCACAUAGUGAGUGCACUAUGUGCUAUUUCUGGCCAGAGCAGAUGUGGCCUUGGUGGGCUGCAGGGAACAGUAUCUCUCAGGUAAAAAUAAAUUACGUAGAUAAGGACCAAAAUGAUGCAUAUCCUUCAUUCGCAGACAGAUCAUGAACUGGGAGCUGUGUGGAAAGACAACCGGAUUGGGAGCUAGUGUCCUGCCCUGGGUUUCUUCCAGGUGACCCUACCACCCGUCAGCCGUCUGGUCUUGGUGAGUACGUGUGACUGACAAAUACGUUUUUUUCAUGUUUGUUUACUCAUUUCGAGAGAGAGUGAGCAUCGGGAGAGGAGCAGAGAGAGAGGGAGACAGAGAACCCCAAGCAGGCUCCACACUGUCCAUGCAGAGCCUCAUGCAGGGGGCUCGAACCCACGAACCGCGAGAUCAUGACCCGAGCCAAAACCAAAAGUUGGACACUUAACUGACUGAGCCACCCAGACACCCCUACAAAUACAUUUCUUUUUAAAUCAACAAAAGCGGGGCGCCUGGGUGGCGCAGUCGGUUAAGCGUCCGACUUCAGCCAGGUCACGAUCUCGCGGUCCGGGAGUUCGAGCCCCGCGUCAGGCUCUGGGCUGACGGCUCGGAGCCUGGAGCCUGUUUCCGAUUCUGUGUCUCCCUCUCUCUCUGCCCCUCCCCCGUUCAUGCUCUGUCUCUCUCUGUCCCAAAAAUAAAUAAACGUUGAAAAAAAAAUUUAAAAAUAAAUCAACAAAAGCAUAGGACCAACACAGUAACAAACCUGUGUGCCACCAUUGAGUCCCGGGCUAUCCUGACGUUUUGACCAGCUCACUUCAGACCUGGCUGAGUACUAUGUGGCUCCCUCCUUGAUUCUCUUUGCCUUCCUCCUGCCCCCAAGAUAAAUGCUGCCUUAAACCUGCAAACUUGCCUACUUCUUCUGUAGACACCUACACUUUCAGCUGUGGCUGCUGCGUACAUUCUGCAUGUUUGAAAACUUUAAAUGAAAGGAAACACGCUGUAUAUAUUCUGCGACUCGUUUUUUUUUUUUUUAAUUUAGCAUUAGAUUUCAGCAACAUAGCUCUAGUCCAUUCAUUUUAACUGCUCUUUGCUAUAGUGUUUCGUGAACAGACCACCAUUCUCUUGUUGAGCAGUUAGAUUGCUUUGAAUUUUGCACUUUCAUGAUAAACGACGCUUCAGUGAGUGUCCUUACCCAUUUCCUACACUCACAUACAAUUUCUCUAAGAUAGCAUUUUUUCAAAAUAUUUUGGCUACACCCACAGUUAAGGACAUACUUUACAUGUAAACCCAGCACAUGCACAGGCUAUGUUUGUGUGUGUGCGCACAUAUAUGUGGAAUAAAAGUUCCUCAAAAUGAGACCCUUAUUUUGUAUUCAGGUAUAAUCCAGUUUAGGCUGGUCUAAAAAAAUAUCCUGGUUGCAAUUUACUAAAGUGAUCCUCUGACCCCCGUUUCCAGGAAGAAUUGGGUAAACCGUGUUCUGGGACCUGUACCUACACAUGGAAUUGCUGGAUCAUAGGUUAGACCCAUUUUCAAAGUGAGGAGUUGAUGCUUUUGUGAGUUCUUCUUAUGCACUGAAAUGGACGUUUGCAUAUAGCUAGCACUCUAGCUAAAGGAGGCUUUCUAGCAUUCUAGAAGGAGGCUUUUAGGGUUAUUUUAUAUGUCGUAUGUUUAGAAAUAGAAGUCCUGUUUUAAUUUCCUGAGCUUUAAUUUUUCAUAUGUCACAAGAUGCCAGAACAAAACAAAAAUACUGGACUUUUCAGUAUUUUGCAAACUGCUUUCUCUUCAGCCCCAGGGUCCUGGGGAAGAUUUCAGGGACUGCCAUAGGGUGUGCAAACUGGGGGUGGGCAUCAGAGCAGGGAAGGGGACGGAAUGAGUAGAUGGGCAGGGGAAGGUGUGCAGCUUGAAAAUAGAUAUUUUUAUUUUAAUUUUUUUUUCAACGUUUAUUUAUUUUUGGGACAGAGAGAGACAGAGCAUGAACGGGGGAGGGGCAGAGAGAGAGGGAGACACAGAAUCGGAAACAGGCUCCAGGCUCCGAGCCAUCAGCCCAGAGCCUGACGCGGGGCUCGAACUCCCGGACUGCGAGAUCGUGACCUGGCUGAAGUCGGACGCUUAACCGACUGUGCCACCCAGGCGCCCCUUGAAAAUAUUCUUAAGUGAUAGGUUUAGAUGCUCUCUACGGCUCUUUCCAGAUCUAAACUUGAAUCAAAAUAACUUUGGGAUCCCUGGACCAUUUAAACUUACAACCAGAACUAAAGAACAUGACGGUUUGGGGUAUACAGUUCUGGUAAGCAGUGCUGGCCCGCCCAAGAGCUGGACUGUCCCUCCUGUCACUCUAGGAGCUGGUGUGGACAGGGUGUGGUAGGUCCUGGAGGGCAGUGGCUUGGGACACUCCAGAUGGGGCUACCAUUUCUCUUCUGUCAUAGGGGCUUCACCCACAUGGGGCUGGUCUAAAAACAACUUCUGUUUUUAUCAUGCUUAUUGAUUCUGUGAUGACCAAGGGCCUAAGAUACAUUUUUCUGAGCUCCAUUUCUGCCACACCGAGUGUCGCACAUGCUCACAGUAAGGCUCAUGCACUCAGCGGGGUACACGUAUGGUUAAUCGUUAUAUUCGCAGAGAUGGAAUUUUAUUAUCAGUUUAAUGAAACUCUUGAGCUCCUCACAGGUUUAUUUUUGCCUUCCCGAUAAUAGUAAAGGCAUUAAAAAAAAAAGCCUGGUAGUAAGUUGGUAGUGAAGUGACUUCGGGGUGGGCAGAUGGUAAUUGAUGUAGACCCAUAGAUUCCUUCAUAGGCUUGCUCUCUGUCUCCUCUGCCUGCAUGACUGCCUCCUCUCAGAUCCCAGCCCCUCCCUGCAAUCCAUCCUGCCUGCAUUUCAUCUUCCUUAAUCACUGUUUUCAUCACCUCACACCCAUGCUGAGAAACUCUCCGGGGAUCUUCAUUCUCCACCACAUCCGAAUGCCAGCCUGUUUUCAAGGCUUCUCUUAAUCUAUUCUUUCCUUACCUCUCUGGCUUUAUUUCCUUUGCCAGAUGUGGUUCUGGGUCCUGUGGUUUAGAGAUAAUGGGAUUUUGGGGCACACAUCACCCCCCACCCCCAAAAUUUAAAAUCUGCAGCAUUUUUCUUCGGUACAGUUGAGCCUACUUCCCUAAACAAAAACACACAUCAGCAGGGAUUGCUUCCCUCGUGCUCAGGCCAGGGCAGUGGGGCUGGGGGGCCCUCAGGGGAGAGGGGGUGCAAGGAAGCAGGGUAUGCCCCUCUGCCUCGUACACUGGGAGAGGAUGAGCACUGAGAAAGGUGACUUGACUCACUAAAGUCGUUUGCGGAAAUCUCUGUCUGUUUGACAAGACAGAAUGCACACAACUUAGAAGGCAAAUAGGAGACAGAUAAAUUUGAAGACAGAGAAGUCUGGUUGAAAACCUUGGAGAAUGGCACACCCUGUAUAGGGCAAAAUUCAGCAGAUCACUGAGCCCCGGAGAAGACACCAGUGGGAGCUGGUGAAGGAGACUCCAGAGAAGGCUUACCUACUGGAGCAGGUUUAUCCCAUCUGCAAAUAAAUUCUUUUCAACUUUUUCUUUAGUGUGUGUGUGUGUGUGUGUGUGUGUGUGUGUGUGUGUGUUAACUGGCCAUUUCCAUUGUUUUCCAGAAUGAUUUCCAGAAGUCCUCAUUCUUCCACUUAGCAGCUAUAUAUUUUUGGGGCAAGUUUCUUUACCCAUAAAGUAGAAGUAAUAAUGCAAAUAGUUAUUUGGGGUUGUUGGGAGGGCUCAAGGAGAUAAAGUAUCUAAAGAGCACAGGGGCACCUGGGUGGCUCAGUCAGUUGAGCAUCAACUCUUGAUCACAGCUCAGGUCUUGAUCUCAGGGUUUUGAGUUCAACCCCACCUUGUGCUCCACACUAGGUGUGAAGCCUUCUUGGUAGGCAGGUAGGUAGAUAGAUAGCACAGAACAUGGUCCAAGAUAAAAUAUUAGCUAUUAUUCUUAUUGUUGUAAUUGUUACAAGUAUAUAUUUUGACUUGAGCAGCUGCUGAAAUUCUACUUGUUCUCAAGAUACCUUCAGGUCACUCUAGUUUAGUAAACAUUUACUGAGUGCUCAGUACAUGCUGGGGACUGAUAGGACACUGAUGAUACUACAAGUAAGAUGCUGACCUUGCCCUUGGGUAGCUUACCUUCUAGUAGGGAAGGCAAACCUGUAAGUGGAUGAUUUCGGUUUAAGGCUGGGCUGCCCUAUACACUCACCACCAGCUGCAUGCAGCUGCUGAAACUAAAUUGAGAUGUGCUCUACAUAUAAACUACAUACUGGAUUUUGAAGACUUGGUUUGAAAAGAGAAUGUAAAAUAUCUAAUUAAUAAUGGUUGGUAUAGGGGAGGCUGAGUAGCUCAGUCUUACUUACUUGUUAGUAUAGUCUUGAUUACCUGUUGAAAUAACAUUUGGGGUAUGGUGGGUUAAAUACGUGGUUAAUUUUUUUUAUUGAAGCCCAGCUGACACACGAUGUUACAUGGGUUUCAGGUGCACAAUGUAGUGCUUCAACAAGUCUAUGCAUUAUGCCGUGCUCACCACAAGUAUGGCUACUCGGUCACCAUGUGAUGCUAUCACAAUACCACUGACUACAUUUCCUGCGCUGUACCUUUUAUCCCUGUGACAUAUGCAUUCCAUAACUAGAAGCCUGUGCCUACCACCCCUUUACCCAUUUAUCGGUCUAUUUCUGCUGUUUAUUCCCUUUUUGUUGAUUCCAUAUAUAACUGAAAUCAUAUGGUAUUCGUCUUUCUCUGACUUAUUUCACCUAACAUAUGCUCUCUAGGACCAUCUAUGUUGUAUAUUUAGGACCAUAUGUUGCUAUAUGUAUAUAUAUUCAUACAUAUAUACAUAUAUAUACACACAUUUAUAUACAUACACACACACAUACUACAUGUUAUUUGUCCAUUAAUCUAUCAGUGGACACCUAGGUUGCUUAUACAUCUUAGCUAUUGUAAAUAAUGCUGUAAUAAACAUAGGGAUGCAUAUAUCUUUACACAUCAGUGUUUUCUUUUACUUAGGGUAAACACCCAGUAGUGGAAUUACUGGAUAUAUAGGGUUUUUAUUUUUAAUUUUUUGUGGAACCUCCAUACCGGUUUCCACAGUGGCUGCAUCAGUUUACAUUCCCACCAACAGUGCACAAGGGUUCCUUUUUCUCCAUAUUCUCACCAACACUUGCUAUUUCUUGCCUUUUUGAUUCUAGCCAUUCUGUUAGGUAUAAGGUGAUACCUUUUUGUGGUUUUGAUUUGCAUCUCCCCGAUGAUAAGUGAUGUUGAGCAACUCUUCGUGUGUCUGUUGGCCAUCUGUAGGUCUUCUGUGGGAACAUGUCUCUUCACAUCCUCUGCCCUUUUUUAAAUCAGAUUAUUUGAGGUCUUUUGGUGUUGAGUAGCAUGAGUUCUUUGUAUAUUUUGGAUAUUAACCCUUCUUGGAUAUGUCAUUUGCAAAUGUUUUCUCCCAUUCAGUGGUUUGCCUUUCUGUUUUGUUGACGGUUUUCCUUGUUGUGCAAAAGCUUUUUAUUUUGGUGUAUUCCCAAUAGUUUGUUUUUGUUUUUGUUUCCCUUGCCUGAGGAGACAGAUCUAGAAAAAUGUUGCCAAGGCCAAUCUCAAAGAUAUGAUUGCCUUUUUUCUUUUAAGAGUUUUAUGGUCUCAAGUCUCCCAUUUAGGUCGUUAAUCCAUUUUGAGUUAUUUUUGUAUGGCGUAAGCAGUCCAGCAAGUAGCUGUCCAGUUUUCCAAACACCAUUUAUCAAAGAGACUCUCUUUCCCUCCUUGUAUGUUCUUGCCUCCUUUGUUGUAGAUUAAGUGACCACACAACUGUGGGUUUAUUUCUGGACUCUCUAUUUUGUUACAUUCAUCUAUGUGUCUGUACUUGUGCCAGUACCAUACUGUUUUGAUUACUAGAGCUUUGUAUUAUAUCUUGAAAUCUGGGAACGUGGUACCUCUAGGUUUAUUCUUCUUUCUCAAGAUUGCCUCAGCUAUUUGGGGUCUUUUGUGGCUUCAGACAAAUCUUAGUAUUAUUUUUUCUGUGAAAAAUGAGGUUGGUAUUUUGAUAGGGAUUACACUGAACCUGUAGAUUACUUUGGGCAUUAUGGAUAUUUUAAUAAUAUUGGUUCUCCCAAUCCAGGAGCGUAUUUGUGUCAUUUCCACUUACUUGUGUCAUCUUCAGUUUGUUUUAUCAACCUUUAUAAUUUUCAGAGUACAGGUCUUUCAGCUCCUUGGUUAAAUUUAUUCCUAGGUGUUCUAUUCUUUGUGGUGCGAUUGUAAAUGGAAUUGUUUUCUUAAUUUUGCUCUCUGUUAUUUCCUGUAUAGAAAUGCAACUGAGGCACCUGGGUGGCUCAGUCGGUUAGGCGAAUGACUUCGGCUCAGGUCAUGACCUUGUGGUUUGUGGGUUCAGGCCCUGUGUCGGGCUCUGUGCUGACAGCUCAGAGCCUGGAGCCUACUUUGGCUUCUGUGUCUCCCUCUCUCUGUCUCUGUCUCUCUCUCUCCCUCAAAAAUAAACAAACAUUAAACAUAAAAUAAAAAAGAAAACAAAUGCAGUUGAUUUCCAGGUAUUAUUUUGCCUCCUGCAACUUUACAGAAUUCCUUUUCUCUAAAUGUUUGUUUGAGAGUGAGCGAGAAAGCGAGCCUGUGUGCAAGCAGAGGAGAGAUGGGAAUAGAGAGAAUCUCAAGCAGGCUCUGUGCUGACAGUCCCCAGAAUUCUUGUAAGUUUUUUAGUGGUGUCUCUAGGGUUUUCUAUGUAAAGCAUCAUAUCAUCUACAAAUAGUGACAGUUAAACUUCUUUAUUAUUAUUAUUAUAUUAUUAUUAUUAUUAUUGGCUCCUGGGUGGCUCAUUCAGUUAAGCAGCCAACUCUCAAUUUCUGCUCAGGUCGUCAUCUCGUGGUUCAUGAGUUUGAGCCCUGUGUCAGGACUAGGAUUCUCUGUCACCCUCUCUCUGCCCCUCCCCUACUCACGUGCAUGUGCUCUCUCUCAAAAAAAAAAUUUUUUUUUAAUUUAAAAACUGUAGUACUAGAAAACUUAAAUUUAUGCAGCCCCUGUUGUGCUUCUGUUGGAUGGCAAUGGUCUACGGUGAUAGAGGGUGCUGUGGGAACCAACUCAGAAGGGCAGCAUGUCAGGGGGUAAAGGAGUGCUUCCUGGAGGACCAGAUGCGUCCUGAGCUGAGUCUUAAAGGAUGAGCAGAGGUUACCCAGGAAGGACACAGCUUGAGGAUAUUCUGGAUUGAGGUGACAGGAAGGCCCAAGGAAAGUGUGCCAUUGGGGAGGAGCCCUGGGAACAGUUGGUUGUUACACAGCCUAAAGUGUUAGGAGCUGGGGACUGGAAGAUGAUGAAGCUGCCUGAGAAGUGAGGCCUGUCUUCCUACCAUUUAACAUCUAGUCGUCAUUAAAUGCCCUGGUUCUUGUCUUACACCUGAGGUCUGUGUAUCCACUCUUUGUUUGAAGUUUUGUGGACUAUUGGCUGUUGAAAGUUUGAGGUUUCUGUCUCUACAAGAAUAAGACGAUCCUGGAAGAUAAAACUAAGGCAUGCACGUACGCUACUCGGAAGGCAGAAUGUUAUUUUCCCUUCUGUACACAGUCCUGGAGUGGAUAGCAGGCUCACAUUUCUGCUUCAAGUGUAGACCUAAUGAAUGAGAAACCUAGAGGAAGGUGAGAGCUUUUGGUAUGCUCUCAUUCAUUGGGUCCAAGGAGAGUAUACAUGACUGCAUUCACACCCAUCUCUAUGUCAGUGACCUUCAGUGGACUACCUCCCACCCCCAAAUUCCCACCAAUAAGGAAUAUAAUUGGUCUUGGAACAACACAGCUUUGAACUGCACUGGUCCACUUACAUGCAGAUUUCUUUACAGUACCGUACUGUAAAUGUAUUUGCUCUUAAGAUUUUCUUAACACUUUCUCUAGCUUACUUUAAGAAUACAGUAUAUAAUACAUACAUGAAAUAUGUGGUAAUUGACUAUUUAGGUUAUCUGUAAGGCUUCAGUCAACAGGCUAUUAGACACAUCUCGGGGGGAGUGAGAAGUUAUACAUGGCUUUUUGACAUGGAGAGUUGUUGCUCUUGACCCCUGCCAUUAUUCAAGGGUCAACUGUAUAAUCAUUUAUCAGAUUACACUAAUUUGGAAGCUCAUUAUAUCCACUCUAUCCCAAAUCACCCUCAGGUCUUCUGCCUUUAAUAACUAAUUAUUAAAUGGACAUUUAGUAGGUCAUGCAGGGUGAAAGAGGAGUACCAAAGGAGGCUGAAAACCUAAGUGGAUGGAGAAGCUGGAGAGUGACAAGUCAUCUUCAACAUCUGCUUCUCACUCUUUAACGUGCACGUGAAUCAAACAGAUCCUGCGAAGAUACUGGUUCUAAUUCAUUAGGUUUAGGGGUGGAAGCAACAAUAUGCAUUUUUUUUGAGCUUCCGGGUCAUGUCAGUGCUACCGGUCCAUGGACCUCACUUUGAGUUACAAAGUCUUCAGCGUCAGUUUAGUACAAAUCUUUACCCACGGCUGGAAACUGCAUUGCAACAGCCCUGAUGAGUCAUUAGAAGCCUCUGAGGGAAGACCUAUCACGUGAUUCACCUCCUCCUCCUUUGUGGAGUAAGUCUAAUUGUUGGAACAGUUUUUCUUGUCCCUAGACGCUAUCUGGGAAAUUUCUAUGCAUUGGUCCUUGUUCUAUUUCUGGAACCACAGAGAUAAUGAACCUGAUCUCUCUUUCUCAUGACAGCCAUUUGGAAAUUUGAAGAGUAUUUUUAUAUUUCCCUUAAUUCUUUUCAGUACAUUAAAUCUCAUCUCCUUUCGCUGUUAAUCAUAGGACCCUCUGGGCUGUCCUGGGAAUCUGUUCUUUAAGUGUACCUCUUGUAAUUGAGCACAGCAGUCUUGCUUUGUCUAAACAUCAGAGAGUAAGAUGGGCCUAUUACCUACUUGGCUGUUGAUUUUCUGCUUCUGCUAGAGUCCUCCAUCAUCUUGGCCUGUUGACUACUCUUUGGGUGUCACUGCUUGUAAGCCCCUCUUAGUGAACAGAGCUAGAGAAUAUAUGUAUGCUUAUGUGUACGUGUAUGUCUAUGUAUUUUCUCAUUUGUCCAUCCAUCCUUCUGUCCAUCCAUCCAUCGAAAACUCUGAGUUCAGCAUGAUAGAUUUACUCCAAUCCAGUUGCAUAGGUAGAUUGUAGUUUUUUCCCUUUCCAUGUUUAUAACUCCCUUCCCUGGAAGUAAAAUAAAAAAAACCUACCUUCUCAUAUCCUUAAGACAGUUACCUGUGUGAUCAAACCCUUGGGUAAAACCAAUCGUCUAUCCAUCACUGUUGUCCUUCCCUAUGCACAUUUGCCUCACACCACUCACUUCCCAACACACUCCCACUUCUUCUGGGACUCAGCUAAUAGUUUUUGGGCUGAACUAUUUGGGAAGGCAAGGGGAAGAGGAGGAGGAGGAGGAGGAGGAGUUUUUUUUUCUCUUUUGACUUGUAAAUGAGUGAAUUAUACUAAUAGGUUUUUCUAAUAUUGACUCAUCCUUGGACUCAUGCGUUGUGCCCUGCUUUGAUUUUUCUACUCUUUCAUUUAAGAUUUCUUGGUAAGUUAAUUUAUUUUGCUGAUCUGAAAAGGCUUUGUCAUGCAAGAAAUGUUCUUAGACAUUCCCUUAAUUUCAUUCUCUUUGAUUUCUACAGGGGGAAUAUAAAGAUUUCUCCUGACUUGUGUGAAUUUUUCCAGGGUCCUUUCUUUUGGAAAUGCUACAAGAUGGCUGUGUUUUCAGUGGUGGAAAUUAUCAAUAGGUCUCAAAAGCAAGGAAUCACAGAAUAUCUGCUUUCCAGUAGUGAUGUAUGACUCACCAAAGCCACAACAUUUUUUAUAAUACCCUUAGUUUUUUUCAUAGAAACAGAACUGAGAUUCCUAAUACUUCCUGGAAUUUUUAAAAAAAGGAAGGAAAAAAAGAAUUCAAGGAGAUGUCCAUUGGUUAGCCCAUCACUGGCACGCAUUGGCAUUAAAGAGUAAUUGGUGAGUAAACCAGUACCAAUACCACUAUCCUUCAUGUCCAGCCUGCCCCCAAAGAUUUUCUUGGAACCAACAAGAAGGUUAAUUGAAAAUAUAAAUCUGCUUUGGAAAGCAUUUGCAUUUUAAGCGGAGAUGGAAUUUGGGGAAGUGCCAUGUAGACGUCUGUCAUUCUACAAGUCAUAAUUAUUGUCAGUGACCCGAGACCUGGAGCAGAUCAUGAUGGUUAAAUAAUGUCCAUGGUGUUGCUCUUGGGGAAAGCCUUUGUCCCCACCUGAUCAUUCCCACAUUGCCUUGGGUCUUUUAUGCCUCAAGUGCAUAUGUUGCUUCUGUUUAUCUGAGUAGUUAAUUUUGGAGGCAACCAUUUUGCAGAUCUGAUUUCCUUCCUCUGACAGACAAGGCCUGGAUUGCUCUCGCUUUUAUAUUUCAUUAUUCACACAUUCUUCCCCAUCUCUCACCAAUCCUCCCACCAUUUCUGUUUAAAGAAGAUCUUUAAUAUAUAUGUAGACCCAUCCCAAAAGGUCUACAUGCUACACGUGCACAUGCACAUAUACCCACAGUGCAUGUGUACUUCUGUAUAUGUUCUUUUUAAUUUUUUUUUCUUGACUAGAUCACUCCUAAAAAAAAAAACAUUGGAGUAUGACAAAAGCUGGUAAAAGAGAUGAAAAGGAUGAUACUUUUUGGUUAGGGAGUUUGAAAUAAUUUUUGCCGUGACAAGUUGACUAUUGGGGCACUGUGCGUCCCUGUGAAUUGCACGCUUCAGCUACGUCCCUGGCUCUGUUGACCCACAGAGAGAGUAAUCCAAUUAUCCAAAUAGGGAAAUGCCUGAAAACAAUGAAUAAUCAGAAGUUGCAUUUUAGAAGCAUGCUCAUUCAUAAAACUGGUAGGUCAUGUUCAUUUUAGAAGUGCAUCAGCAGGAAUAUUGUCUGAGCCUGCACUUAGAACAUUCAUUCAGUCAGCAAACACAUACUGAGAGCCUUCCAUGUGCUGGACACUGUCCUAGGUGCUGGAGAUGUAUUAAUUAGCAGAGAGAAACAUGGUCCCUGAUGGUAAAAAAAAUUUUUUUAACGUUUUAUUUAUUUUUGAGACAGGGAGAGACAGAGCAUGAACGGGGGAGGGUCAGAGAGAGAGGGAGACACAGAAUCUGAAACAGGCUCCAGGCUCUGAGCAGUAAGCACAGAGCCCGACGCGGGGCUCGAACCCACAGACAGUGAGAUCGUGACCUGAGCCGAAGUCGGACGCUUAACCGACUGAGCCACCCAGGCGCCCCCCUGAUGGUAAAUUUAACAACUGGUUUUUUUGAACCAAAAGCUCUGAUGUUUCAUAUUUUGCAAUGCCUGUGCUCUAAUUACUCCCACCAUAGCCAAUUUCAAGCUCCCCAAGUUCUGCAGUGCCUGGCACAUAGAAACUGGCCACCAUCAUCAUGUUCCUAUCUUGAUCAUCAUUAGGCUUGCUUUGACAGCAUAAUAAAAAGAAGCUCAUGACCUACAGGGGAAGAGUCUAAGAUGUGCUCAGGGGAGAGUGUGGAGAAGGGUCUGAAAGAUGAGGGACAUUCCUUUUUAUUUUUUACUUAAAAUCUGUAAGAUGUGCAUUUUUAGAAGUAUGUAUUUUAUAACCUUUAAAGAAAGAAUUUACAGUGCCCAAGUGACCAAGCAUGGCUUUCACAUGAUUCUGGCCAGAUGUGACCACAUCGUGGAUAUAAGACCGUUAUUCCAAGUCCCAUAUCACAAUAUGUGAAUCCCUGAUAAAUGACUGUUGUCUUCCUGGUGAGAAGUGACUUAAACUAUUCACAGAAGAUAAGCAUUCAAUUUGCUGCAGAACAAGUCACCCCGAAUCAGUCGCUUAAGCUAAUGAUGAUAUUUAUUUUGCUCACAGGUUUGCAAUUUUGGUGGGGCAUGGUGGGCACAUUGUGUCUCUUCUCUUUGGCAUCAGGUGGGGUGACUGGAAGGCUCCGAGUAGAAUUCUCUGAAGGGGCAUGCCUGUGUUGGCAGGGGAUGCUGGCUGUUGGCUGGGACUGAAGUUCAAUGGGGGUCAUUUGUCUCUCCAAGGUAAGUGUCCCAAAACAGAGCCAGGUGGAAGCUAUAUCAGCUUCUAUGACCUAACCUUAGAAACCCUACACCAUCACUUCUCCAUAUUCUUGUCCGCGGUGGAGGUGGGGGUGGGUCACAAAGCAUCACCCAGGUCCAAGGAGAGGAAAAUUAGAUUGUACUUCUCUCUCUACGCAGGUUCUGCAGGAAGGUGUGGGACUGGAAUAUUAAUGUGGCCAUUUUUGGAAAAAGACAAACUGCUCCAAGAAAUUCUCACCUUUUCCAUGUCAUCUGUACCAGCUGUAGCUGCAGAGAAAAUGUGAAAAGUGAGCCAGAUUCUCUCAGCUGCCCAGCUGCACGUGAGCAUUGCAACUUCUUCACGCCAAAAAUAAGGCACAGUGUAAGCUGUCAGUGCUUAGCUGGGAAACCCAACAAAUUUUCAUGUUGUAUUUCCCAUGCCUAGCAGAGCCAUGAGUUUUAAAUUCCCUGUGAACUGUCAAAUAUAGCUUAAGCAAAAAAAAAACAAAAACAAAAAAAAAAAACAGAUGAACUCAUGACCGGGAUGGUGGAAGUCUACCUUUGCUUGGUUGGGCUCUGUAUUUUAAUUGUUGUCUCUAAGCUUUCUCAAAGAGCACAGCUAGGAGAUUCUUCAGUGCAUAUAGGUGUCCUUAUGCUUGCCAGCCACACGAUGGAUAAGGCUGUGUUGAACUUCAUGUAGUGCUUGAGGGUCCAAUGCAUUCUUCGUAUUAUCUACUUACUAGGGUUGGAGUUGGUUCAUUCAUUUGUAUCCUCAGUGUCCCUUGGUUCCCCACUGGGGCAUACAUAAAUAGAACAUAUUAACAGGAGACUAACAGGUAAUUACCAGAUAUGUAUGGAUUGCCCAUAGAGUAGCACUUAGAGAAUUGUCAGAAAACAUCCAGUUAAUGCAGUCUGCUCAAUUGGAAUCUUAAUUUAUGGUAUGAAUUGGUAGCCCCAAACCAGCGGUGUAUUAGACCUUCAGGGAUUCUAAUUUUUAAAGACACUAUUAUUAUAAUUUUAUACUUCUGAACCAAUCCAAGUUCUUUCCUAAUAUAAGAAGAUGAGGUCGUUGUGUAACAGAGGUCUCAAAAACUAAGCUGUUUUGGCAAUUCACAUUUAAAACAAAAUGGUUCAUGGCUGGAUAAAUCAAAUGGAAUUUUAACAAAGUUUUGUCCCCAAUCUUUUCUUGUUUAAGCUGAAGACAACCAUGAGGUAUUUCAGCUAAGACAAGUCAGUUGCUUUGCAGAAAUUUGUUGACAUUUUUAGCAGUCCCUUUUCUCCUGUAACUACAAUGCCAAAUGAGCAAAAUGAGUGUACUGACAGCCAAUACUGUCUCUGCUUCAAUGGAAUUCAAAUAUUGUGUGUCCAGAUAUUUCUGUUCCUUGACAUAUACUUGUGAGGAACAUUGUUAAUAUCCCCAGCUCAGACAGUUAAUUAUAAAAAUGAUCAGUGAAGAUAGCCUGGUGGUUCUUCAGUUCGCCUAGGGGGAGCUUGGGGCUCACUCCCCAAAGAUGCUGUUUCACAGGCCCAUAUGAAUCUUGAAAAUUCCCCUUAUGAUUCUGGGUACCAGCCCAGCCUGGGACCGAUUGAACUAGAAUAUUUGCUAACUCCUAAAAUAAUUUUUGUGAAGAGGGUUUUGCCUUGAUAGAAGUUACUGUGGCUCAGGACAAAAUAGUAUUAUGAUUCAAUUUCUAUCCUUGGUAAACAUUUUAGAGUAGGAACUCAGGUUUCCACUAAACUUUUAUAUAUUGACUCACUUUAUAGUAGAGGCUAUAGCUUUGAGAAAGAAAUGGGGGAAAAGAAUUCCAGUUCACAAAUCAUUGUUUCCCUCUUUAGCUUUGUGUUUGGGCUGAAAUAUUUCUUUUAUAUAUAAAUGUUCUAUAUGAUGAUGGUUGUCAUUAUUGGCUACAAGUUUUUGUGUGUGUGUGUGUUUUUUUUUUUUUUUUUUACAUUCUUCAGGCCCUUUCAGCUGGAGUUCCUAAAAUAAACAAUUAUAAACUAUUGUUUUUGGUUAGAAGUCACCAAUGGGGCAUGCCUCACAAAAAUGGCAAUUGUUGUGUAGAGCCACAAAGAAUAAAUAAGAUUUCCACAGUAGAAGAGUAGAUAAAAGAUAAUUCCAGGUAGAGGGAAUGGAAUAAACAAAGGCACAAAUGCUUGAACUUGUUUGGCACACUCAAGCAGAGGUGAUUAGCUCAGUGCAGCCAGGGUACAAUAGCUAUGGGAGAUACCCAUGGCUGGAAAUAUUCAGCCCUAAGUGAUGGAAGCAAAGAAUUCUAAAGUUCUGUUCCUAAUUGUCCGGAGUGGCCUUUUGAAGAAAUGUGUUUAGAUAGAUUCUGAGGAUGCAUCUGGCUCUGGGAUUAAUGAGGGCUCACAAGAAGGGUCAACAGAGUAUCAGGGCCCCAUAAUUUCUCUUUCAUACCUUCUCUUAAUUAGGCAUAUAAAUAUGCUCAGUGUCUUUUUCCUGCUCAUGAUUCUCGUUGUGAUAUCUUGGAAUAUGUUUUGAUAUCCUUGAGGGAGUCGUGAAAUGUUGACUCUGUGGACAAGGGGCUUUUGCUUUUGGUUGUCAUUUUAACCCUAUCGGUGGGUACUCUGGCAGGACUGUCCUGGAACAUAAUUAAGUGGUGAGAACCGUAUGAAAUACACCCUAAUGUUCACAUCUGAAUUUCUGAAUCAGUGAUCCAGUCAAAGGGAUGACUGAGUAUUAAUCUGAUUGGCUGCAUGUAUAUAUUUUCAUUUAAAAGCUGAUGGGGCACAGCCCUAAUUUUUUUUUCCCAGAAGAUGAAUAGCUAAAGUAGACAUUAGAUCCUACUUCAGUGUUUACCAGAAAAGUUCACACUAUCAAAGCACUUGCAUGAUGUGAAUUUUUUUUUGCAUUUUUUUUUUUAAUGUUUAUUUACUUUGGAGAGAGUGAGCUGGGGACAGAGAGAGGGAGACACAGGAUCCGAAGGAGGUUCAAGGGUCUGCACCCGCAGCACAGAGCCCGACGCAGGGCUUGAACUCACCAACAGUGAGAUCAUGACCUGAGCUGAAGUUGGACGCUUAACUGACUGAGCCACCCGGGCACCCCAGGUGAAUAAUUUUUUAAUAAACCAAUGCAAAUAUUUUACAUGCUUCAAAGAAACUUAAAAUGUGUCUUUACCUGCUCAAAAUCGUAAUUUAUGUGAAACCUCUCUUUGUUGUUCCCACUGUCUUUCAGUUCUGCCCAACAAUCUCCUGGGGACAACAAUAUGUAGGCUUUUGAAUAAUACUGCUUGAAGAUUUUAUAUUUAAUUAACAUGUUUUUUUUUUCAAUUCGUGGACUUUCUUGGGGGGAACACAUUUUAGCUAAAAUCAGGAUGUGUGCAUCGUAAAUUCUGUCUGCAUUUCCUGUUCAUCUCUCACCUCCUAUUCCCUCCCCCUGGUACUAGUUAUUAAUUCCAUGCUAGUUGAUUUUGCAAAAAGAAGAGAAUAAGACCAUGAUAAAUAAGGCAGAAGAGAUCUUCCAGUUCCCCUCCAUUUUGAAUGUAGCUCUUUGUAUAUCCUACAGUGCAAAGUUUGAGAUGACUGUUCCACAGGGUCUUCAGGUACUGGAUGAAUAUUUUAUUUCCAAUAUUUUAAAAUUAUUUUGAUUUAGUAAGCUAAUAAGGUCAAUUAGUUCUUAGUGCUGGAGCAAACACUUUGACUUUUAGCUAGAUUGUAAGUUAAAAACCUUAGAAUGUAAAUCUAUGGGGAAUUUUAAAGGUUGUCCAGUCCAGCCACAGCUUUGGAAAUAGGGCCUCGUCCUUGAAGAAUCUUCUCCACCCUUUAGGCUUAGAGUUGUGCUUGGUCAUCCCUCAAACACUUCCUGUCCCAUUAUUCUGACCUUAAAACAGCAGUCUUCAAGCCAACGUAAAUUUUCUAGUGGCCACAUAUCUGUGGCAUACAGAUAAGUUGUGUAAUGCUCAGCAAAGUACCCAGUUUGGGCCUCAGGUCUACCACCUCUUAGAUCUGUAACCAGUGAAGUUACCACCACUGAGCCUUAUUCAUUUAUCCAAGGCAUUCAGAAAAUCAUCCAUGUGUCAGCCCUAGCCCAGAUGCUGGGCAUACAGUGUUCAACAAAACAGACAUAGUUUCUGUUCCCAAAGAACUCUGCUUCUGGGAAUAUACAACAAAGACUUACCAUUUGCAACCCAGAAGGUCAGUUCUCUGAUAGGGAACUGCCCAGGGUUCAUGCCCAGGGUUGGAAAUGGGGCAUGCUGGACAGGCAAACUGUUUGGUGUCGUUACCUCAAAGCUGAGACAGGAAUAAUUAUGAGUUCCUUAACUUUCUUCCAUGUAAAUGGUGACACACCUACCUUGUUGGGUUAGAGUGAGAGACCGAAACAAUGAAUGUAACAUCCCAGAGCUGUGCCCAGCCGUUCAUUAUUGAGCCAGAAAACAUAUAUUGAAUAGAUAGCAUUCCAGGCAACCGGGAUUCAAAAAUGAGUAGGGUGCUGUCCCCAUCCUCAUGGGUCUUACAGGCCAGAGGUCCAGCCCUAGCUUCCGAGGCUGCUGUAUUAUUGCUGUGCCCCCCACUCUUGCCUGUUCACCUGUCUGCAUCUCAAGAGCACCAGCUUAGGAAAGCCAGGAAUGCUUGUUUCUCUCUUGUCUGCUGUUGUAUGUUCAAUGCUCAGCAGUUCCUAGCUGACCUUGGCUGCAAAGAUGCAGCCCAUGCCCUCCCUCACCUUUUCAGUUCACACCUGCCCAACUUUUUACUGCCAGACCCUGCAUUUAUUUGCCAGAAGGUCUCCUAUAGCUGCCAAAGCCCACUCAGGCCACACCUGGGGGUAUGAUGGGGAAUUAAGCCCCAUCCAGUUGCCCCACAUCCUAUCCCCUCUGAGGAAUUAUACUUACCCCCAUGGCAAUAGCUUGAUUAGUAAUUUGCCCUUCUUUGGCUGUUUUCCCUCUUUUUUUAAAAGUUUAUUUAGUUUGAGAGAGAGAGAGGUACUAGCACCAGGGGGGAGGGAGAGAGAGAGAAUCCCAAGCAGGAUCCACACUGUCAGCACAGAGCCCAAUACAGGGGCCCGAACUCAUGAACCGUGAGAUCAUGACCUGGUCUGAAAUCAACAGUUGGACACUUAACUGACCUAGGCAGCCAGGCGCUCUUCCCCCCAAUUCCUAACCAAUGAUUUCAGGGGGUCCCCCAACUCCACCAAUUGCAUUUGAAUCUUUGUCUAAACCUCUGCCCAAACUAAAAUGUCCACACGGCAUCCAAAUCUUUAUCUUCUAUCUAGAUAAUUCUGGUGCCUGUAAAGAGCCCAUCUCAUAAUGGGAACUGAAAAUGUCAGAUAACCUUGCAACAACGGAUGGAUACUUGACCUGGACUCUGCUAAUCAGACGCAUGUACUCCAUUCCCUAUGUCGUGAAGAAGGAAAAGACCAGAAUCUAUUCUGUUGACAGAUGGUCGCAGAGACCACGACCUGAAUGAGCAUUUCCAGCAUCCAUUGUUGGCACUCAAGGCACAACACCACGCACAGAACAUGGCUUCCCUGAAUGGUUCUACCUGGAUAUUUUUGAGCCCUGCUCUUUUCCUUGCAACCUCCGAGCUUCUACUUCUCUUGUCCUCACAGAGAUUCUUAGAUCUCUCCAGUACCUUUUGUGAUCAAUUCCUUUCCUGCCAACCCAUCACGUUUGGUUCCUGUAGCGUGUGCCUAAGAAGGUGGUCUGUGUGGGUCAGGACAGAACCAAGAAAACAGUCCUCUGCCUCUUGCAAGCAGUUGGGACUUAAUACAGAAGAUGAUGGAAGAUCUGGAAAGCCAACCAGGGAGCAAUGAGGUAACCCACAGAUCAGUAGCAUCUGGAAGCUACCAUCAACCCUGGAGCUGGAGGAACCAUGGAGGAAGGAAGGAGCUAGAACCACAGGACAGGAGCUACCCAGAGAGGUGACCAGUUGGGUCCCAAGACCUGAGGCCACACCAGGGAAAGAGCCAGAAAUAGACCUGAACGCCAACAGGCAAUUGCCAUGCACAAGUAAUGGGAGCUCACAUAAUUUUUGGCUGAACGAAGAGGGCCAGGACCAGAACCUUGUGUUAUACCAACUUUUAAAGGCUAGGGGAAUUAGGCCUUGGCCCCUAAGGAGAAGCAGUCCGAGAGCCAGGAGGACACUGAGGCAAGAGUAGCAUUCCCCAUGCCACAGCUCUGAAGCCAUCAAAUCUGCCAGACCCCUAACUGGAUUUCCACCAAACAGACCUCUGAAUUAUUCAUCAAGUCCAGACAAGAGACUCAGAGUGCUUAUCCAUGAGCUUCGGGUAUCAUAGCUUCUAAUCCAGGCUAUUCCCUGGGUAACCUGAGUUAUUAAGUAAGGAUCACAGUGCUUGCCAACUUUCACUGGGCAAGAUAAGAAGCAAUGCAUCAUGGAGAUUUUUAAAUAGCUUGGCAAGAUGGGGAAACACAUCACAGCAGGAACCUUAAUUGAUAAAGUAGAGACAAGUGCACUCAUUCUCACGGUUGGAAAUUACGGGACUGUCCUACUUGACUUCUGUGAGUGGAUGGAUUGCAACAUCUUUGUUAGUGGCUAAGCAGAAGACAAAACAAAGCUCUGUGUCUGGAUUUGGGAGAAGGAACGUAGUGUGAAGGAAAGAGCACCGUUUCAGAUCAGGAGAACUUCAUUUGAAUCUCACCUCCACUGCUCGUUAGCCUUGUGAUUUUAGAUGUUAUUUUCAACCAAGCAUUAGCCUUUUCUUGGUUAAAAGUGAUGAUGUGGGCCACUUAUCAUUCUGGGCACUUCAUAAAUAUUUGUUCCCAAAUCCCCCUUCUUUUUACCAUAACUCUAGCCUAGGAAGAAUUCUUUCUCCAAAAAAAUGACUGGGAUGAAUCAUUUCAAUAGGAAAAAGUUUAAAACGAAUUAAAAUCCAAAACUCGGCACUCCUGGUUAUUAUCAAAAGCACCACUUUCCCUGGGCAGUCUACAUUCAAGGCUAUUUAGUCAGAAUUUCAGAUGGUCUAAAAAAAUUUUAUCUGUGCCUAUUUUUGUUUCUUGAAAGAAAAACCUCACUUCCCUUGCAUGCCAUCAAAUAUCAGUUCAUCUAUAUUUUGAAUGGGAUUUCAUCCUCCGUUGGUGCCUGGGUGUUUCUGUGACUUGAGCAAGGGGUCCCUGUGCCUUUAUCACCUGGUUUCUGCCUGACGUGGCUGGAAAGAUGAGCGCCUCCAGGCCCAUCACAAAGGAGCGGGGCCUCCACGGUGCAUUAGCAGCACCAAGGAGUAUUGCCAAGAUACAGCAUAAAAGACAAGACUCCAUGGUUCCCCUCUGGGUUUCUGGAGCAGCUGUCUCUAGCUCAGCUGUGGAAAUUUCAGUUCCUUCAUUGAAACCCAAACACCUGUGUCCCCAGACAGGAAAAUGCCUAAUAAAGUGACUUCCUCCAUGCUGGCUAGUCCUGUGAUUUUAUUCAGCCCUUAAGGACAGUGUGGGGGCUGAGGACUACACACCAGCCUAGCCAGAGAGGGAGGCAAGCCCCAGAGAUGGUCACUGAGGUAGAAAAGUACUAGCCCACGUUGAUACCUGGGGGCUGCGCUCAGAGUACUCAGGGCUUACCUUGGCUUUGAAGCAUCAAAUGGAAGGAUGCCUGGGUGGCUCAGUGGGUUAAGCGUCCGUCUUCAGCUUAGGUCAUCAUCUUGCAGUUUGUGAGUUCCAGCCCUGCAUUGGGCUCUUGGUUGACAGCUCAGAGCCUGGAGCCCGUGUCUCCCUCUCUCUCUGCCCCUCCCUGCUCACACUCUCAUGCUCUGUCUCCAAAAUAAAUAAACCUUAAAAGAAAAUGAAACAUCAAAGAUCAGACAAAAAUCAGGUAUCACUUAAACUUUGUCAUUGCAUGGGCAACCUGAAUGCCUUCUCUCUCAUUCUGCUGGCUCAUCUUUGGGGCGAUACUCUUUAAUUUCAGAGCACCCCAGGGAUAUUUAUCCCUUUGUUUAUAUAUCAGUUAUCUGCCUUUAAAUAUCUUACUUGACAUGACUUUGUUUUAGAAAAUAGCAUUUCAAACCCAAAUUUUUUAUAUUUUAGAGAUUUAUUUUUGAGAGGGGCAGAGCAAGAGGGAGACACAGAAUCCAAAGCAGACUCUUUUAGCACAGUGAGUAGAGUAACUCAUGUAAUUUUUACUGUAACGCAGUGAGGUGGGCCCAGUACAAUCCACGUUAUCAAUGGGAAAGGUACAGCACAGAGAGUAAUUGACUAGCAGAAGAUCCUAAGUGCCAGAGUCAGGAUUUGAACCCAGGCCCUCUGCCUCCUACAUCUACUCUCCCAAGCUCAAGAAAAUCCACCAGGUCAUUUAAAGGUUUUUAUAGGGACGUCUGGGUGGCUCAGUCAGUUGAACGUCCGACUCUCGGUUUUGGCUCAGGUCAUGAUCUCACAACUUUGUGAGUUCAAGCUCCAUAUGCUAGCCUACCUGGGAUUCUCUCUCUCUCCCUCUUUCUCUGCCCCUUCCCUACUCGUGCUCAUUCUUGCUCUCUUUCAAAAUAAAUCAACCUAAAGUUUUUAUGAAGCUCUUUCUGCUGUGUGUCCUCUGGUUUCACCCAAAUUGCUUGCUGUCACUUAUGCCUAUGCCCACUGCUCACACUGGAUUUCUUCUCACUAUUGUCCAGGAGAUUUCCUUCCUCUCCCUCUUGCAUCAAUUCCAGGUUUUGGGGGUAUCGUUCCUUCUUUCUUGUGGAACCAUCCUUUAGAAGACAUCUCAGAAAAUGUUUGCAUUCUGUCUUGAUAGUGGGGGGUAUGGCGUUCAAACGUCCUUGGAAUAUUUCUCUUCUGAUCUGUUAGUACGAUGUUGGGCCUCCUGGUUUCCUCUGUAUUUAAAAUUUUUUUGAUGUUUAUUAUUUUUGAGAGACAAAGUGUACAGAGAAUCUGAAGCAGGCUCUGAGCUGUCAGCACAGAGCACAAUCUGGGACUCGAACUCACAGACUGUGAGAUCAUGACCUGAACCAAAGUUGGACAAAGCCAUCCAAGUACCCCCCCCCGCCUUUUUUUAAUAUUUAUUAUUUUUGAGAUAGAGGGAGACAAGGUUUCCUCUAUAUUUUAGAAAAAGGUUUUGAGUUAUUUCCUUAUUGUCCAAAUCUUUUACAAAUUUUAUAUUUAUGAAUAUAACUUUAGCUCUCACCUGUAAAUUUCUAAGAACUCUUUCUUAUCCUAAUAAUAAUCUCUCCUUAUUUCUUUUUCUUAAUAGCAUCCUGACCUUUUUAAGGAUAAAUAGCUUCUCUCUCUGAGGUCAUUACACAGUUUUAUUAAACUUUUUUUGAGUUUCCUUUCUUCCUCCUUUGUUUUGAUGUCUCAUCUUUUAUGUUAGAGACUUUCUUCACAUGCCAAGUAAUCUUUAGCUCUCUCUCAAGAUUUGAAAAAGUGAGUAAAUGCUGAUGGGAAACUCUAUGGAGUUGGGCAUGGCUUGUCAGGUGCACUGGACGUGACUGGAUGAAGAUUUGUCUUUUUCAUUAGGAGGUUUCUAAGUGUGUACGUAUAGGUUUGUCUCCAGGCACAUGAGGUAUUUUUUUUUUUGUGCUGAAUUUAUUAAAAUUCAACAUUAGAUGUGGGGGUUCCUAAAACCUCUUCUGCUAUUUCUGCAACUUGGUUUCUACUUCCCUGCCAUCUUGCUUGUCUUUUCUUUCCCCACUACUUGCUUCUGAGACAUUUUAAUGUAGAGGGGUUUGGUUCAUGCUGACCCAUGUCCUCAGAGGGCUCUUCUCUCUCUCCUUUUUCUUAAUGUUUGUUUAUUUUUUGAGAGACUGAACGCCAGCAGGUAAGGAGCAGAGAGAGAGGGAGACACAGGAUCCAAAGCAGGCUCCAGGCUCUGAGCUGUCAGCACAGAGCCCGACACGGGGCUCAAACUCACCAACCACGAGAUCAUGACCUGAGCUGAAGUCAGAUGCUUAACCCACGGAGCCACCCAGCUGCCCCUACAGGACUCUUGCUGAUAAGGACCCCUUAUCAGCUUUACAAAUUUCCUAAAUGCAAAUGGUGCUAUCAAAUGAUAGUAUGAAUUACUGUUCCAUUUGUGCCAUAAACCCAAACGCGUCAAUUGUGGAGUGAAAAACUCUAAUUGUUCUGUGAUAGCUGUGGAUAAACUUGACUUCUGGACUGGUGCCAGCUUACAUAUGAUCCUUAUUUCCUUAUAAUGUGUAAUUAUUGCAUUUAGAUCCAUUCAUUAUUAUAUUUAUCUUGAAGCACAUUAAUCUCCUUGUUGCAGUGACUCUGAUAAAACCAUGUGUUUCGUUAUCUUCCUGUGUAUUGUAAGUCCCGUCUAUUAAGUUUCAAUGGAACUCUCUCAACCUCUUGGCAAACUUAUUAUUAAGGACUCCUUCCCAAGCCCUUAAGUGCUGUAGAAACUAGUAGUCGUAGAUACAGCUGGAUCCUUAAACAUGAUUUCCUUCAUGUGGCAUUUCAAAUACUUAAUUUUCUGGCCUCACACUGGGUUGUUUUCUGCUUCUUGAAGCUUACCACACUCUUCUGAUUUCAUUUCUGUCCCCCAUCACACUUUUUCCAUUCUCCUUUGGUCCAUGUACUCAACUUGACCUCUGAUGUAAGACUGCCUUGAGAUUCUGUACUCACCUGUUCUUUUCUCUACCAAGUCUCUUUAAGGGAUUCCAACCAGCCCAUAGUUUUAUGCUGAUCAAUCCCAGACAUUUAUCCUUAACUAUGUUGUAUCCCUAGGACUCCUGACUCUAGUUGCCUUUGCAACAUUUUCACAUGCUUAGCAGUGACUCAGAAGUUCUAUACUGCUUGUGCUGUCUUCACACACCCGGUCUACCCCUUACACACCUCUUUCUUCCCGUUUUGGAAAAUGGUGCCAACAUUUAGCCGCUUGCUCCAGCCCCAAAUCUGACAAUUUUCCUUGAUUCUUCUCUUUCACCCAACUCAAAAAAGCCAUUUAUCUACACACUACCGAUCCUACUCCAACAUUCACCUUGAAUCUGCCCAGUUCUAUGCAUUUCUAGGACUCUUGCCUCAGAUAAAAACAUUUUUUUCUGACCAGCUACAAUGGCUUUUAACCUGCCAUUUCUGCUUUCAGUCUUGCACAUAGCAGCCACUGCAAACUUCUUGAACCAUAGAUCAGAUCAACCAUCAGUUUAAAAUUUUCUACAAGUCUCUAUGACUAUGGAAGAUACAUGCUCUGGCUUUUGCCUACCAAGUCUUUCUUUGGUUCUUCACCACUCCAAGCUUAUUCCCUCCUCUGGAGUCUUUAAACUAGCUCUUCCUCUGCCCACACACAUGGCAUAUAUUCUUGCUUAUAUUCCCUUCUAAAAUGUCACCACCUCAGAGAAUCUUUGCCCGGGUAUCCACCAAGAGUGUUCAGCCAUUUUCUUUCCCUUCAGCCUAUUUUAAUUCUGUGGAAAACACUUACCACUAUCUGAUAUAUAUAUAUAUAUUGUUUGUUUACUUGUCUAUUUUCUGUUUGUUGCCCCCACCAGAAUGUAAAUUCUUUGGGGGCAGUGACUUUAUCAACAUCAUUCAAUUUAGUAUCGUGAGUGUCGGGCACUAAAUAAGCACUCAGUGCUAUUUGUUGAAUGAACAGACAAAUAAGGUGGCUUAAAGGCACUUGAGAAGUGAGAAAAACAGAGUAAACCUACUUGCCACAGAUCACAUAGACAGCAGGCUAUUUGGCCUAUUGCUUUGAAUGGGAUCAUUGUCCUAAUGACCUCUACUGCAUCCCAUGGUAACUAGCUUUUUUGUUUUUAUUUUGUUUUGUUUUUGAGAAGGGGGGGGGUGCACUAGUACAUGCGGGAGGGAGAGGGAGAGAGAAUCUUUAGCAGAUUCCAUGCUCAGUACAGAUCCCAGUGCGGGCUUCCAUCUCACAACAGUGAGAUCAUGACCUGAGCUGAAGUUAGACGCUUAACCAACUGAGCCACCCAGGCGCCCCUAUUUUUUAAGGAAUUUUUUAAGGACAUUUUUUAAAGGAAAAUGUUGAAUGAGAAACUUGCAGUCUUCCCCAGGUUUUGUAGGAAUGGAGGAUGGAGAAAAUGGAGGUAAUUUAGAGCAAAAAGGAAGAACAUCUAAAGAAGAUCCCUAGUAACAUUACCUCUAUUUUCCUGAGGAGAAACCUACCACUUGAAGAGGGCUUAAGUCACUCAGCCUAACUUACUCAGAAAGGGGUGAAACCACAGUUCAAACUCUGGUUCCAGUUUCAAAGAUAUGAAUUCUCUACCACACCUGUUGGUGGUGAUUCUCAAACCUGACUGAAAUAACCCUUUCUAAUUCCAUCUACUUAACACGGACAUCCCUCUAUAUGUCACAGACACAUAAAAAUGCUGGAUGAAAUAUAAUGAGACUGUUUUACAUACAGGCAAGGAAGAAUGGAGGGAGAAAUUUUGUCUCUUAGUUUCUUGGUCUCUAUGUGCCAAAAAUAAAGAAGAAUCUCAUAACUAAUGUGUGAGCCCAUGAAUUGAGGCCAGAACAGAGGACAUCAGACAUGGCUAAGGGACAUACAGGGGUUGGGUCUUUUUACACAUGUCUAGAAGACAGAAGUGGCCCUUAGGUCUAAGAAAGAUAAGGAUUUGCAACUGAAAUUCACACAAAGCUAGAACCCAGAAAGACCUGUUCUCACUAUAUUAAGGUACUAUAAAGCAUUAUUCCCUUACUAAAGCUACUGACAAAAUUCUCACUGAUCAGAUAUGGAAAAAAGAUCCCACAACAAAUGGCAAUAUAAACAUCUAUGUCCAGUGUAAGUGUAGAAUUCAAAUUUUAGACCAUUCUCAUAGCAGAGGAAUCCCAAGUGGAGAUAUUAAUGUAGAUAUUAAAUAUUUCUGGCCAGUGAAAUUCCGGGACUCCACAAGAAAAAUCCAGUGUAAGACUUCUCUGUAGGACUACUACCAAUCUUAAAGUACACAGCAUUCCACAAGGACACUAUAUCCUAGCUGAAAAAAUACAAAGUACGAUUAAGGAAGCAGUCCAAAAAAUGGGGGAGUUGACAGAUACAUGUGGGAAGAAUAGCACCAAAAGAAUAAGAUAAACUAACAGUCUAAAGCUCUCUAUAAAUUUAAGUAUAAUUGCAAUCCUGAAAGAGAGAGAGACAUAAAAACCCUCAUGAAAGAACAUAAAAAGAACAGGCAGAUAUGACAACCCAGUAGAACAACUCAAAGUGAAACACUGUAAAUAAAAUUGAACAAUGACCAGUUUUGAGAGCAGAUUGGCACAGUUAAAGAGAGAAUUGAUAACAUGGAGGAUGUAUCUGAGGAAAUUACCCAGAGUGCUGCAAAGACAAAGAGGUAUGAAAUCAAAAAGACAGGUUUGGAGAUAGGGAGAAUUAAAUUAGAAGUCUGAACUUAAGUCUAAUUGGAACUUCAGCAAGAGAAGAUGGGAAGGCGCAAUGCUUUAAGUGAAAUGGCUAUGAAGUUUCCAAAACUAAGGAAAGUCCGGAAACCUCACAGUGAAUCGGCAGAGUGAUGCAUACCAUGUACAAAUCUGGUGGAUUCAUCGAAUGAAGAGAACACUGAAGCAAACACUAGUUGAAGAUCUGGUAGAGAAAACAGAUAACAUACAAGGGAAUGAUCAUUAGAAUAGCAGACAUCAGCAAAAUAGAGACCAGAAAACAAAUCUACCUUCAGAUCAUCAAAAUCACCUGAGAAGCAUAUGAAACUAUUUGGUUUUAUCCCAAAUGCUUUGAGUGGUGGUCAGGAAUAUCCAUUAAAAAAAAAGAAAAAAAAACUUCAAGGAGGUUUAAAACGCUUGUAUUCCUGAGCACCAAAUACAUAAGCACACACCUAUAUUCACAUUAUCACACGGAUCACAAGUAUGUGUUAGUGAAAUAUGCCCCCCCCCAAAAAAAAACCAUGGAGAGGUUUAAUCCAAAACCAAGGAUAAUUUCUAAUUUUUCUCCACGCAGUCUCCAGGAGAUUCAUGCUAAAUGGUGCAAGAUGAUCUCCAAAGAACUAGGUGAAGGAGUGAGUGCAAGCAUCUCUGACCUCACACUUCCUCACAUUCCCAAUUCCGUCUCCCCCAGCACAUGUACAAUGAGCAUCAGAGGACACCUCAUUCUCCAUCAGACCUCCACAAUCCCAAGAGCAUAUGUGAGGAGAGCAUUACGUGAUGCACGAUUCCCAACAUACUUGAUACUUUAUAUUACAUCCAAAAAGAUACCUUACGACACAGAAAUUUAGCCUACGUUGCCUUUAUGGACAUCUGUUUUCAGACUACUGGCUUUCACUGCUGUAAAAAAAGCUAAUUCUACAUUAAUACUAGGCUUUAUUUUCUCUAAACCUCUAUACUCAGAGGUAUUCAUUCCAGUAUUAUAUACAUGUAGGUAAAAACCUGGAAAACUCCAGCAGGAUGGAGGGCAGUGAGGUUUUGUCACAGUGUCCUAUGCGCAUGCAGUAAUUUGUUUGCUUUUUGGCCGGAACUCCUCAUACUUUGCUUUUCCCCUUUUCAUAAACAAUGCUUACGUAAACAGUAGCACAUCCACAUGACAGAACUAUGCUGGUAGAAAAAUGAUGUUUUGAACAGAUCACAAAAGAAUAAGAAUGUACCAUAAACACAUAAAUAUUUAACCUCAUUAGUAAUAAAGAAGAUAAAAUUCCAUUUUCUUCUAUAAGAUUAAUUUGGGGGAUGGGCACUACUUUGCUGCUAGUGUUAUAAAUUGGUCCAUAAUUCUUGGAUCAAAAGUUGGUGACACAUAGACACUUAAAAUUUUACAUUUUUUUUGUUUUUGUUUUUGUUUUUGCUGAGCAGUUCCAUGUAAAGACUAUAUAUUUUUAAAAAUUGAACAAGCAUAACAUUGUUUAUAUUAAGAAUAUUUGGAAACUUAAGUGUCCAAAAAUAGGAAUUAUGCCAAUAAGAUCUGGUGCUAUACAAUGGAAUACAGUUAGGAAGGACACUACAUAAUACAUGGUAGUAACUCAAAAGUUGGAAAAUUGAAGGUAAAGCAGUAUUUUUAUAGUUAACACACAAUGUCAAGAAAGAGACGUACUAAGAGUGAAUAAUAGUUUUCUCUGGGUAGCAGGAACAUAUGGGUGGGUUUUUUUGUAUAGAAUUUUCUUUGAGUUUUGAAGUGACAUUUUAAUUUUUUUAAUAAGGAGAAAAUGGUCAAAAAUUUUUAAGCAAUAUGAGAUAAUGCCAAUAAUGGCAAAAAUGAAGGUUGCCUUAUGAUGACAACUAUAUAGAAAUGUGUAGAUGGAAGAAAAGUGGGGGAAAGAGGGGAAGAAAAAUCUCUCUUAAUAACGGUUUUCUUUGGCCAGGGGCAUGUGGGACAAAUGUUUGCUGCUUUUAUGAAUUUUUCAUACUUUCUAAUUUAUUAACAAAUUUCAUACUUAGAAGGAAAUUUAAUAAUCAGGUUUUUUUUCCCCAUUAUAUUUCAUUUUAGACACCUCUCUGCCAUAGCAAGGAGCCAUUCUGAGUCCUAACACCAAUUUUCUGGGCUCCGUCCAGGCCACUGUCUUAGCUAAGUUUGCAUAAAAUAUUACUCCUGAAGUUAUGAUUUCAAUCAAAGGAAGCUGGGAGACUUUUCUAGAAUCCUCUCCUGAGCCUAUCAGGAAGCUGGGUGAGAUCAGAACCUGUUUGUUUCCAUUCGGUAUUCUGUCUGGGUCUCCAGAGGGGGCGGAGAGCAAUGAGAUCUGGGCACCACUGCUGGAGCCCCAUGUUGUAGGACACUUGCUUUCUGGCAUCAGUCCCUGACACAUAUGCUUUGCCUCUCCACUUUCGAGCAGAGGGCUCCUUGCCUGAACUAGUCUGGAUGUCAGCAAAGUGGCCUGCAGGCCCCCAAAAGCUUUCGUAUGAAUUGCUGUGGGUGGUUUCUGCACAUUGAAACUUGGCCCACAAACACACCCCUCCCCACACACAUACGACAUAUUCCGUUAGAACCCAUCCAGGUUCUUGGCCUGAAUAUUGGCCAAAACCAGACUUCAAAGAAUCACCUAGUUUCCAUCUGCUACGAUACCACAUUCCCUUCUCCUUCCAGCUUCCAGGCCUUUCUCCUGUCUUGUCUCCACAUAGCUACGUGAAUGAACUGAUCUCGCACCUCCAUGGCUGUAGAAUCUUCUGCAGCGUCCCAUCACAUUCAGGAUAAUGUAUGUAUUUCCAUAGAUGGAAAGCAAAGUCCUUCAUGAUGUGUCUCCAACUUACCUACUCAGCCUUCCCCUUCACCAAGCAUUUCCAACCUUCUUCUAUUGCUCUAACUCGCAGUCUGUGGCCUUGACCCACUUCCUCACUUAUCUCUGCUUUUCUACAUACUAUUCCAUAGCCUUCUCUACUUUGUCCCUCCUUCACUAUCUUUUCAUCCUUCAAAAGUCAACUUGAGUGUCAUUCCCAUUGGGAAGCCUUCCUGACUCUCACCGCCUGUCUUCCUCCUCUGUCCUAGGUGCUCUGUCGCUUGACCCCUACAUGUGCAGCUCAGCUCUGUCUUUCACUGGAUUGUGAGGUCCUUGCAAACAAGGACUGGGUUUUCCUGUAGUCUUAUUCCAGUGUCUAGCCUACUUUCAUAGUUUCUAGUGAAUAGCUAACACUCAAAAAGGUAUCGCGCAUUUCCACUCCUGGUAUAAACCCAACAAAUCCAAGACAUGUACAAGAACAUUCACAGCAGCAUUGAUGGAGUUAGUCCUAAACUGGAAAGAACCCACAGGCCUGCUCACCAUAGAAUGAGUAAAUCACAGCAUUUUGAGUAAAUCACAGCAUUUUAAGUAAAUAAAUCCUAUACAACAAUGAGAAGGAAUGAAUGAAUGUUGUGAAUUCAUCUCACAAACAUAAUGUUGAGUGAAAGCAUUUGCAGAAAGAAGAAUAAAUGAUCUAUAACUCCGUUUAUGUUAGAAAUCAUGUGAGUAGUUACCCUCGAAGGUACAGGGGAACUGACAGGGGCGUCUGGGAUCCCAGUAAUGUCCUGUUCCUUGACCUGGAUGCUGGUUUCAUGGACAUUUUCACACCAAGAAAAUCCAUCCAGCUGUAUAUUUAUGAUUUGUGCACAUAUCUAUCAUACCCUAAUAAAAAUUUUAAUUGAGGAAAGUUCCCUUUGUGAAACAUGUCUCUCUGGUGUUUUGAACAGUGACAGAAUGGGCAGUGUAUGUUUGCUUCAAGUGAAUUGCCAGCUUGAUUAAUGCUCUUUUCCCCACACUCACGAUGGUGUCACAUGGUAGAAUGGAAAAAAAAAUUUUUAAGUGAAAAUGUCUUCCUCUACUGGGUCUAGCAUUUGCUUUAAGAAAUGUGAUGCUCAUUGGUGUCAACCAGGUGUUCAUUUGGGUAGUUGGGAUUCUCAACUUGAAUUUUGGCAACCUCAAAUAAUUUGGGGCUGUAUCACCAUAUAAAUAACUAUAACUGGCAUUUCAUUUCACUCUUUGUAUCUUCAUCCUUUUGUAUUUAAGGUUUCUGUCACCAACAGGCGUAGGCUUAUUGACCUGCACACGUCAAUCACACCUUCUAUAUACUUUAUUGAUUCACCUUUCAUUGCUACAUUUCAAAAUUGGUUUUCUUCUUGGUACAAAGAUAAAUUAUCUACAUUAAUCUUUCUUCCCCUCCAAAUUUUAAAGGGUCUAGAAAUACCCAGACUAGGGGACAUGUUUAAAAAUACAUUUCCUUCUCUUUCAACAAACCAAUACAUGUACAAAAGGAGCCUGAUGACCCUGGAUGUUUGAAAUGGCCAUGGCCAUCUUGGCUGUUCUCUGGGCCCUGCACACUGGAGCCCGUCCACCCAUCCCUGCAGGGACUCACCGAGUUUCUCUCUCACGUUCUGAAAUAAAAGCCUUUCAGUGUCUGCACAGAUGGGAAUUCUGCUGCCACCUUCUCAUUUCACAUUUCCUGCACUUUUCUUCCUGAGCACUUGACUGCCCAAAAUAGAAUCAUGGUUUUUUGAGUCUGUGUGUAGGGAUUUAGUGGGGGAAAUGGCCCAGGUUUCUGUCAUUCCCUGUAAUUACCACACCUUGAGGUAGUUUUCCUCUUGGCUACAGGGUAGAUCACAGAUUCAGAAGAGUGCUCAGAGUGUCUUUCAGAGAAGAGCAUGGAUUUUCCUUCAGGAGGUGGUUGGGGAGGGCUCCCCUCAUGGCAGGGCAUCAGUGUCCAAGGAGGACACAAGAGGGCACAGAAAACAGGGCCUUUGCAUGCUUUGCCACCCAAUAGCCCCCUUCUCCUAUUCUCUGCCUUUCUGAGGUCUCUUUCUCACUGGAUAUGCCCUCUUCUCUGCCUUUUUAAACUCAGCUCCCAAAAGGAUCAACACCCCUGCUUCUCUCUGCUCAAUUGAAUUAUCUCCAUCCUUCCAAGCCUAGUUUAAAUCCCAUCUCCUCUGGGUAGCCUUCCUGGAUGACUUCCUCUGAAAGUGAUUUCCCACUUGUCUCAUUUUCUAGAGCCCCUGCUAGUAUUAACUGAAUGCUUCCGUGCCAGACUUUAUUCUUAGCACUUUACAUAUACAUAUACAAAGUCAGAAUCCUUACAAUGACUCUAUAAAAUAGGUUUGAUUGUUAUUCCCAUUUUAUAGAUGAGGAUUCUGAGCCAUAGUGAUACCAUAGCUCCCUAAUUAGAUGAGAAGCUCCGUUUACCAGCUCUGACUUAGGGACUUGUCCCUUUCACAGCACAAGGAUUGGAGACUUGCAAUCACUAAUUCUUCAUCUCAUACUUGUCCACUUUGCCGUGUGAUGAACUUAAAACCAUGAGAAAAAGAUUUUGAAAAUCAUUUCUGCUCAUUGUAUGUUACCUUUCCAUUUCUGUCAACAUGGGGUACUGUGCAACAGAGGCAGGAUUGAUAAAAAACCACAAUAACAAAAAAAAGUCCUUAUUUGGUAAGUGAUGGCACGGUGGUAAGUGAUGUACAUUCAGUAGUCUCCUAAUCCCAGCUCUUCUCCCCCAAAAGGAUCAGAGAGAGGUUGCAAAAGCUUGCAAUAGGAUUAACUAAGUAGAUUAAGCCAAGGGAAUACAAAUGUAGGAAGUCAAACAAAAUCCUGAGUUCUGUCAUCACCCAAGAACACAUGCCCUAAAGACCCUCCUUUGGAAGUGGAAUUUGACUCUAGGCUUACCACUGUUGGUGACAGAGAAGGACACAUAACAAUUCGAACACCCCCAUUGCCUCUGAGAUAAAGACCAACCCUCUGUUCAAACGAAGCACACAUGAAUGGCUCAUCAAACCAUCUCCUAUUACACUUCUCAGCACAGACCAAUCUCUUCUCAUGAAAAAUAUGAUCAUAAUAUCCAUCCAAGGAGGAGGCUGAACUGUUAGGUCCAGGUAUACAGUUUAAUUUGAUUUGACUUCAGUUAUCUAAGAGAUAGAUGGACUGUACGUGUUUCAGGAGAUUCCCCACCAAUGUUAUUUCUCACAACCAGGUUCCCUACUAUCUUCUCUGGAUGAUUACCUUUCCAUCUUUAACUAAAAGCUGAAUAGGUAUUGUGGUAUAACCCCUUUGCACAUCUGAUAGAACUUGCGUGCCCAGGAACAGCCUCUGGGAAACCCACUCUUACAGGCAACAUGGAGCUUUAAAAAUGGAACUUUCAAUGGGAAAAAUGAAAUUCAAACUCCUUUGUGUGAUUUAUGAUGCUUUUCACAACCCAACCUCAGCCUGCUUUUCCACACCUGAUUUAUUAAUUCCCUUUUAGCAUUUUCAUGCUUCAUCCAACUAAACUCCAGCAUGUUCCAUGAAGACACUCACUGAGACCCCGUAGAUGCUUCCUCAACACCCUUUCCUGUUUCCUCUACCUUCUCUGCCUACUGGGUCCUGAAGGAUGGCACCUUUUCUGGGAAUCCUUCCCUGAUUCACCUAACAAUUAAUCUUACCCUUUACUAGAGUCCAGUAACACUUUGCUUCUACCAGAUCUUAAUAUCUCCUUUUUAGCUUCUCUGAUUCCCCCCCGGCCCCCAGCCCCGGCACAUUGUGAACUCCUCCAGGGUAGAAAUUUCUCUUAUUUGUCUUUGUAUUCCAGCAUCGGGGACUUUGUCUGACCUGGAUUUAUUACACCAGAUAUUUAUUGAGUGCAUCCUGUACAGACAAAGCAAGUUGGGACAGUUCCCUUCCUGUGAUGUUAGGUUAAAAACAACAACACCACAUGAGUUACUCCACAGGUGACCUAAAUAUGCUUCCAUUAUUUUCUGAAGCCACCCAGAUCUGUGGAAAUGGAUUACUCAAUAUGGUUUGAUAUAGAAAAGGGAGGCCCAGUACAUAGUUAGGUUGAACCACUAACUGAUUCUACUGAACUCUGUUUCUUAACUUGGUAUUUCCCGGAUUUGAAAAGCUCCAAAGAAUGCAUGUUGCCACUUAUUCCAAGUGUCUUCUCCUGUUUAUGCAACCUCCGUCAAGUCAAAGGACUUUGCAAAAUUAUAUUUGGCAUGUGGAUACAUCACUUCAUCCGCCAGUAAAACACACAUGCCCCCUUACAAGUAAAACAGAGCAACUGUCCCAAGGGAACUUGGCAGUUUUACAGCAGAGGUAAGAGAAGGGUCAGGGAAAAAAAGAUAGCUACUCCUCCUUGAUUUCCUGACAUAAAUAGAAAAUUUAAGAACUAAGUUACCCAAUUUCAUUGUCAUUCAAACAACCUAUUUGGGUGAAGGCUACAGUAAGUAUUAUGUGAAUCUGACCUCAGUUCAGGACUUUGAGACUUUUUAAUCAGCCAUCCAUCACAAAAAGCCAUAUUAUGGACCUUCAGACCAACAUGAGCACUGCACAAAUCUACAAAAUUUCCAUAAGUGCAGUUCCAAAAAUGUGUUGAUCAAUGAAAGCAUUCUGAAUACAGAAACUGGAAGCUGGUAUCUGAAAAGUUACUUUAUAUCAUAUUGUUUAUAUAUUAACCAAUCUAGAAAAAAAGUUGUUUUUGCUUUUUUGGGUACAUAUGCAAAGUCAAAUCACACUACCAACUUUUGUUGGGAAAUAAGUUAUUUUAUUUAUAGUAAAGUUUCCACAUGAUAAAGUGCAGGACUUUAUAAAUUUGGCAUUAUUUUUUUCUACUUUUCUAUUAAAAAAUUCAUCAAACUUCCAUCAGGUGUUAAUUGUGGGGGUGCCUGGGUCGCCCCAUUGGUUAAGCAUUUGACCCUUGAUUUCCACUCAGGUCAUGAUGUCACAGUUGUCAGAUUGAGCCCAAUGUCAGGCGCCAGGUUGGGUGUGGAGCCUACUUAAGAUUCUCUCCCUCUCUUUCUGCCCCUCCCUUGCCCGUGUGCACACAUGCACACUCUCUAAAAUAAAAAGAAUGGUGUGACAGCCUCUGUAGUUGGCACUAGAGAAAGAAAGAUCACUAAAAUCUUUAUCCACGUGUAAUAUACAGUAUCCUAGGGAAGACAGACCAGCUAAGAUAUCCUUUCAAUACAUUAUGAUAUAAGUUCUUAGAUACAGGUGGUCAUGAGUGCUCUGGAAUCUCUCUCAGAGGAAAGGCAAAGAUGAGAGCUCACAGGAAGCCCUCCCCAAAGUGCUGAGCCUUGGAAGAUGAAAAACAUGAGUACCAUGCAUGAGAUGGAGAUGACAGUGCACCUCCUUACAAUGAAAUGAGAGCAGGAGGAACCAAGGACAGGAUCUGGAUAGCCCACAAACGAAGGGGUAAGUGAAGGAAGGGGAGACUUUGCAGGGGAUCAAGCAGCGAGGAGAAAGGUAGAAGAGCCAGGAGAGAAUAGUGCCACAGAAGCUUGUUGUCCAAGAGAUCACAGACAGCAUCUCAAGGAGGGAGUCAAUAGUCCAUGGUAACAUGCAGAGAAAAAGUAGAGAAGUGAGAAGAGUAGAGAAGCUGAUAUGGGCACCAAGAGUAUGGGUGGAGGAGAUAACCAUGACUAAGAGGGAGGAGCUCCAGUGUUCCAAGACAGUGGGCAAAGACCCAAGAAAGGGAGCAGGGGUAGGUAAAUACAUGGGUGGGAGCAACAGAAGUUAAUGUAGUUCAAAGGCAGAUGGCUUUAGUUUUUUUAUUCAAAGUCGGCAACAAAAUAUCAUCUGCUGCUGCUGAGGACAUAGGGACUGGGGAAGUGCCUGGAGGAAAAUGGUAGUUUGGGGACAUCAGAGAACGAAGAAGAAGAGUAUUACUGAAAGCUGGGGAGAGCACUGGGUUUGAGAUGCCUCUGAUUCACAUGGUUGUGGUUUCCUCCAUCUGAAAGCAGAAGCCCAGAGAUUGAGGCAGGGAAUAGUAGCAAAUGUUUCCUGAGCAUUUACUAUACAUCAGACACUAAUUUCAGCAUCUUUAUGUUGUGUGGUAGGCAGAGUAACAACUUCCCCAAAAUGUCAAAUCCUAAUCCCUGGAACCUGUGAAUGUGGUACGUCAUACAUGGCAAAGAAGAAUUAAGGUUGCAGAUGAAUUUAAAAUGGCUGGUCAACUAACUUUAAAAUAUGGAGAGUAUGGGGCACCUGGGUGGCUCAGUCAGUUAAGCAUCCAACUCUUGAUUUCGGCUCAGGUCACGUGAUUCUCUCUCUCCCCUUACCCUGCUUGUGCAUUCUCGUUCUCAAAAUAAUAAAUAAACAAACAAACUUAAAAAAAUAAAAUAGGGAGAGUAUACUGGAUUAUCUGGGUGGGCUCAAUAUAAUAAGCGUCCUGUUAGGCAGAAGAAAAAAGCACAAAAGAAGAUCCCAAUGAUACAGUGUGAGAAGGACUGAACCGGCCAUGGCCGGCAUUAAAGGUGGAGGAAGGGACCAUGAGCCAAAGAAAGCAGGUGGUCUCUAGGAACUAGAAAACAUAAGGGAAUGGAUGUUCUCCUAGAACCUCCCAAAAGGAAUGCAGCACUGCCAACAUCUUGAUUUUAGAGCCUCAGGAGACUGUGCCAGACUUCUGACCUACGAAAGUGUCAGCUAACAAAUUUGUACAAUUUUAUUUUGUAAAUUUGUGAUAACUUGUUACAGCAGCAAUAAGAAACUAGAAUGCACACGUUUUAUUUGAAUUCUCACAACAGUAUUUUACCGGUUGGGAAACUUAGUGAGUCAAUCCUGGUUACUGCCCUGGAUGCCAUAAGAGAGGUGGGGGACAAAGCGUAAGGAAGUAAUGUUAUUUUGUAAACAUCUGCCUCAAGGAGAGCCUUGUAGUAUUUUUUAGGCAAGAAAUCAUAGACCACUUCUGAAGGCACAGAGAGUUCAAAAGUGAUGCUGAUAAUGUGGGGUUCUCAGAUUCUUCCAUCUAGAUGGCCCUAUGCCAUUCCUUUCAGUUUUCUGCUUUACUAUCUGAGAUUUGGUAAAGCUGCAUGUCAAGCCUUCUCUUCAGUCUGACUCACAAUUAGGUCCUGGGCCUGAUUUUCAGCCCAAUCUGCCUUCUGCCUCCAGUAGUGGGGGGGCCUCUUUAAGGCCACAAGAGAGGGCUUUAGGGUUGCACAUUAUGCCCUGAAUUAGUGGUUGGUUAUGUUGAGCCCACCAAGUCAACGGCCUUUAUAAUUACUGUUGGUACCAUAUCUUUCAAGCGCUAUUGGGUGUGCGAAUGCCAGUAUCCCAACCCAUUGGACCCCAGGUAAGAUUCUUAGCAUCUGUGAUGUUUGGCAAGUCUGGGGAUAACCCCACUCUACUUCUCUCCUCCAGGGGCCAUCUUUUCCAGUUAAGACAAUAUCCAAUUCCAGAAGCACCUGCUAUAUCUUAGAAUUAAAAUAAUUUUACUUCCAAGUCAAGACAAAAUGUCAUGAAAUACAGAAGCCAGAACUCCUAGAUAUGGCAAUUCCCUUGUGUUUUACAAAGUAAAUGAUAAAUGUAGUUAACGAAAAGGUCCCCAACAGCUUCCAGUAGUGGAUGAAGCUAAGGAAGAUGAACCAGAACUGCUCUUAUAAUGUUAUGUUCUACGUUUGCCUUCCUGGUAGUGACUUUCUCAUUUUUUAAGGACUGCUGAUUUCUACUUUGCUUUGCCAUAAUUUCUUUUUUCCUCAUUUUUACUGUACUAGAGUUUUGUCAGGGCUCAUUGAUAAAUUAAUCGAUACGAUACAAUAUAAAGUAAAUCCACGUGUAGCCUUACCACAAAUUUUCAAGAGCCCAGGUACAAUGACUUUUGUGCCCUUUAUCCAUCUUUUCCCUUAUCUCCCUGUUCUUAGGAGAGCAAGACAGGCUUGGGAUUGACCAUUAAAAGGCCAAGAUAUCAUGCGCAGGUUGGUUGCUUGUUGCUUCUGUCUUCCUAAACAGGUGCUCUCUGAGCCCCAUCUUCUUCACAUCUUAUAUAGGGAUGAUCAGAAAACCCAGUUGGUAUCAUUCUACUCUUCUCGUUGCUCAGGCUUCUCUAGUGACACUACAUUGAGUUUCUACAACAUGCCAAACUCCCUUGAAGGGAUUCUGUACUUGCUUUUCUUCUAACAUAUCCUUCCUGCUAAUAUACCCUAAGUAGGUGACUUCUCAUCUUAGAUCUCAGCUUAAAUGUUAUUUUACUUAAAUCCUAGGGUGUCCUUCCUUGACCAUUUUAUCUAAGUAGAUCACCUCUUAAAAUUCACCAUCGCUGCACACUAUUUCCUUGAUAACCCAUAUAACAUUCUAAAUUUUAUACACACAUAAAUAAAAUAUAUUGUCUAUAUAUUCAGCUAUAAUGAUACCCUUUAAAAUGCUAGUGCAAGGCUUUGCACAGAAUGCUCUUAAUAAACAUUUGUUUAUUAAACAAACAGGUCAAUCUAUUUCAUUAACCUUGAGUGUAUUGAUGAUGCAGUAUAUGCAGGAAACAUUUUAACCAUAAAGUAUCUUUAUCUGUACCGAAUACUAGAUGCAAAUAAUAUUUCAUAAUGUUCAAAAUUGUUCCUUAUUAGAUCAAUUAUCAGAUGCUAUGCCAAAAAUAGCAGUAUAUCUAUGAACUUUACAGAUUUUAAAUGCUCACAUCUGUAAUUCUCACAAUAUUUCCUGGAAGCGUGCCAGGUAUUUCAUCCUAAAUAAACGGAUUAUGUGCAUAAUUUAAGUUAGGAAAGAAUGACACAUUUUGAGGGCUCUAAAUGUGUAAAUGAUUACACAUUAAGUGAGGAAUUGCUUUCUCUUUUGCCCACCAGCCAAACGGUGCAAAUUCCUUUGAUGCUGGAGUUCAGAGAGAAAGGAAAUAAAUAUACCUCUGAAACGGCAGUCGCAGAAGUGCCCAUCAGCUCUGAGUUCUGCCUUAAUUGAGCAUUGGAUAUGCAGGAGAAUAAGCUACUUGCCAAUGUCACAUGAUUUAUAUCCAUAAUCAGAAAAAUAUGAGGCUUAAAGUUCAGGUGCAGAUUGACAUUCUCUAGCCUGCACAAAGCUGAUCAUGACCUUUCGAAGCCAUGAGCAAUCACUUCAUGUCCGUUUCUUCUCAGCCACCUGGAACAUCAAAUCAAGAAGCAUCUUUGGAAAGCUAAGAUUUUGAAUUGCAAAGUGAUGCCCAAAUGAUCCAGCUAUGAAGCUUAGAGCUGGGCAGGGAGAAAUUAAUCAAGCACUGGGUUUUUAAAAGAGAACCGUGGCUUCCAUCUUUUAUGUAUAAGAAGCAAACAAGUUGAAAACUUUUUUCCAAAAACAAAAUCCUUUGUGACUAUGAUCCCUUGAGCAGUCUCAUGAUAGUAAGUCCUGGAAUCAACAUUGGAAACGCACAGAACAGGCAUGCUGACCCCUGAGUGCAUGACAUUUCUAGGAUCAGUCGCAAGUCCACAUACAUGUGACAGUGCACUGAAUUUCACAGGCACAGUGUCUGCCUCUAGUCCUUUAUUUAAUGGUUUUUCCAAAUGACAGCUUCCUAGAUUAUUUCCAUAGGAAUGUAAAAAGCAGGCUACAAUUCAAGGACUCAAUAACUGGCUGGAUGCCCUUGGAGUCUCAUGACCUUCAUUUCAAGUAGGUCCAGAUAGAAAAGAACACUACUGGCUGUCAUAUUUGCAGUACCUGCAAUGUACUAGGAUCUAUUACAUGUCUUAUCUCAUUCAGCGCUCUAACACCAUGAUCGGAUGUUUUAAAUGUUGGCUACAAGGAAACUGAAACACAUCAUCAAUGAGCACAAACUAAUAAGUACCAGAGCAGGUACACAAACCUGUCUCAAAUAGGCUCCAAGGCUCAUGCUCUUUCCACUACACUAUCUCUUCUUCACUUGAUCUCUACUGAGUGUCAACCUAUUUUUCUCAUCAGUGUUAUGACCAGUGUCUGCUAGGAGGGCAGAUUGGGUCACUGGCCUCCAAAGAAUGCUCCCAGUUUUUUUCAUCUCAACUGAGCUCCCUGGAGGGUUUCCUUUCUGGCUCAGAGCAGUGUGUAUUGACCUUGCCAGUCAGGGUUGCAGUGUCUUCAAGAAAAGCCCAGCUGAGUUUGCUCCCAUCAAUGCUGUCAGGAGCACAAGUUGGUUUCCCCUGAACGCUAUACCCUGGAGCGUUCUGUGGCAAGAACUCUUAUCAGGGGCAGUUGUUCUCAGAAAUGGUGGCUCUCAACGGUGGCUCUAAAUUGCCUCCUUGCCAACCCUUGCCUUCAUUCCUAACAAUGGGAACCCUUGGCAGCCAAUAAUCCUUCUAACUACUAUUGACAAACCAUCAGCAUAGUGCUUUACCGGUCUUCCAGUCUCAUGUAGCUUUGGCUACCAAUAGGUAAUUAUGAAUAAAGCCACACAGCUCUUUGGAGAAAAUGUUAACAAUUCCUAUGCACAUUUCUACUCUGAUUCAUACUUUUGUCUGCCCCCUCAGCCCUGUUUCACUUUGGUUGAUGCCAGGAAGUACUCACCCUUCUCUGCAUCAGCAAAGGAGACUAUUCUCCAAGGAGACAGCAAUAGGGAGCCACUUACUCUUUUCUGGAAGUACCUGGAUUCAGGUUAUAUGAAGAUGUAAUGCUAUAAAAAUCUCAGACUCUCCCUUCUUGGUGUACAGAAGCAUCUAAACAAAGCAAGACCCCAGAAGAAUCCGAGAAAUACGUUAGUAAUUCCAGGUAGAUUAAUCAAAUACUAUUAGAAACCAAAUCUAAAGCAAGCCACAUAUGGGAUAUUUUUCUUUUUCAUCUACUUUCAAUGAUAAUUUGGUUUUUCUUGACUUGAAAGAAAGCUUUAUCUGAUUGAAUGGUCUCUUUGGCUAUCAACCCAUUUCUCUCCUGCCUUUUACUAUUUAUUUUAUAGACUAGAGAUAAACCUGCUUCAAUAACCCCCUUUCCUCAUUGCAGUGUGGUUCCAUUCACCAAACCCUAAUAUUCUUGGAUUCUAAUGUAGGCAAUUCCAAUGACCUUUCAAAAUCCUCAUUUUCCUUGCCCUCUCUUUCUAGAACUUUCCAGGAGAGAAACUAAGAGCUCUGGUUGAGCUGCUCCCCCAAAGCCGGUACCGAUUUACUAGUCACACAAGGGAGCCAUCUUGGAAGCAAAUCCUCCAGCCCUCAGUUAAUCACCAGCAACCACCAACUACCUCCAGCUAACACUGCAUGGGGCAGAGACAAGCCUUACCCCACUGAGCCCUGCCGAAAUUAAAGAUUUAUGAGGAAAAAAAAAAUACUGAUGUUUUAAGCCCAUUUUAACUAAAACAUGACUUUGAUCCUAAAGCACGCGACCCUCCUCUGAACCCUCUGUACCCAUCUAUCAUUGAACUAUGCUAUACUGUGUUACAAGUUAUUUUUUAAUGUGUUUAGAUAUUAUCUUCUUGGAGACAGGUAUUUUGUACCACAUUUGUUGAGUUCUCGCACAGUGACUUUUUAGGCAGUAGAUACUCUAUAAAUAUUUCCUGGUUAAUUAAAUCCAAGACUAUGUGUUCUAUGAGAUAAAAUUGCUUCUUAUUGUGCCAGCUCUGCAAACAUGAGAGAGGGUGCAGAGAAGACAUCCUGAAACCCACCCAGACUCUGGGUAGAUAACUGACAUUUAAGAUACUAAAAUAUGUGUAUCAUAGAAAAUGCAUAUAACCACCCAUUCUUCAAUCUUCUAAAGGACUUAUUUAAUGCUCUUUUGGAAUUUGGUAUCCAAAUCUUGGGAUUUCUUUAAAAAGUCAACCUACAUUAGAGCCUUAUCACUCAACCUAUUUUUUUUAUUAAUGAGUUACAACAGAAAUGAAGCUUGCAGUUAAUGAGCUACACAUAAUCUAUCUGUAAAUAAAAACCACCACUAAUGGGCAAAUUAAUUAGACGUCAGGUUUCUUCUCUUUGUUUUUACACUACUUUGUUUACCCUAAUACAUUUCAUCUAAAUAUCGUUAGACAUAACUUCUGGAAUGGUAGUAUGAGGAGCUCUGAAGACUCACUUCCUAACAAAACAACCUCAACUAGUAAAAACCAAAACACCAACAACUAUUUAAAAUCUCUAUGCAGUGCCUAAGAGAGUACAAUAAAUGAAGAAGCAUUUAUUCAACAAAAUGUAAUAAACUGUGGUAAGAACAGUGAGAGCCUAUGUCACUUGAGUCAUGAUCUACUCCAUCCCUUACCCUUCCCCCCAACUCAGCAUGCUUGAGGUUCUGUUCCAGAGAGGGGUCCCUCUCCCCCAAGCUACCAGUCAAGUGCUAUUUCUCCCUGGGAUGGACAUAUGCCAACAUUUCUCAUCCUCUCCAGCUGCCUGUUGUGAAACUAAUUUCUAAACAAGGGUGACCAAGAGGUCAGGGGAUCUGUUCCUCCCUCUAGCCCCACUGUUAGUCCCACUGGUUCUACUCCAGGCAAAGGUAGCUGAAAAUACUAGAGCCAAUGAUCAUCACCACAGUUUGCUCAUACAGAGGAUAUUCCACACUGGGAGAGGCAAGCUGGGAAGACCAGAGGCUACUGCUCCUGCCCAGUGCCCUGCUCAUUAGAGGAAAAAUGGUGCUCCAAGAGAAGUGGGUCAUUGUCUCUGCUCCCACACCCAAAGCAGUUUAACUCUGAGAUGUUUUUGCAUAGAGAGAGGCAAAAAGAAGAAAAGAUGUAGAAGCUCUUACCAGACCAACUACAUGUAUUUGGAAUAGAAUGUAAGUUUAAUCCUAAGAGAUUCUCAAAGAGCAAUGAUGAUUUGGGGGUAGACAAUUAAGAGGAGGCUGAUAUCUCUAUGAAAGCAACAAGGAAAAACUUUAAGCCAACUAGAUUACCAGAGAAAAUCAGGUAAAGAGAUAACUGCUAAGAUGAGCCCUUCUGGAGUCAGAAAAAACCUCCAAGACUAGCUCUAUAAAAGGUCCCAAAUUAGUUGAAUCAGACUGUGGAGCACUGUAUGUAUAAGGACAUUAUCAAAAACCACAGAGUAAUCAGCCAGCAGUAAGGGGAGCCUAAUUAAGCUGGACGUGAUACCAACAGACAAAACGGACUUAGCAGCGAGAUCAGGAAAAUAGCCAAAGAGAACCCUGCUAAAACUGGUUAUCCAAAGGUGACUGUGCCCACGCCCAAGGCUGCAAGUUCUCAAGAAUGACAUCACAGGCCUCAUGCCGCAUGGGAAAUUUCACUGAAGUUCUCCAGCCAAGUUACUAAACAAAUAAGCAAAUAACAACAACAAAUCUGAGAGAUGAGAGAUGAGAAAUCAGUAUCCAUAGCUGCUACAAUAUAUUACCACAAAUGUUCAGUUUUCAGUAACAACAAAAAAUUAUGAGACAUGCACAGAUGCAGGCCAGUGUGACCAAUACAGGGGGUAAGGGCAAACAGGCAACAAGGACCGCCUCUAAGAGGGCCCAGAUAACAGACCUAAAACAAGUUUAUAGCAGCCACUAUACUAUGCUCAAAGAACUAAUGGAAACCAUGCUUUCAAAAAUAAGUAUAAUCAUAAUGUCUCAGCAAAUUAGGAAUAAUAACAUAUAAAUUAUAAAAGUAAACCAAAUAGAAAUUUCCAAGUUAAAAAUCAACUAACAUGAAAAAUUUACUAAAAAGACUCAAAAGCAGAUUUGAACUGGUAGAAGACAGAAUCAAAGAUCUUGAAGAUGGAUUGUAUAAUGUGUAUCAACCUCAGUAACAGUGAUACUGAGUAAUGCCUUAGAGAAAUGUAGGACAUCAUAAAGAGCAGCAAUAUACUCAUAAUGAGACUAGGAGAAUGACAGGAAGGGGAGAAGGGAGUAAAAAAUAUGUGUUUAAUAAAAUAAUGGCGAAAUACUCCCAAAUUUUAUUUUUUUUAAAGUAAUCUAGACAUCCAAGAAACUCAACAUCUUUCAAGAAGGAUAAAUGCAGAAAGAUAUACAACCAGACACUUCAUAACUAAAAUGUUAAAAGACAAAGAGAAAAAUCUUGAAAGCAGUGAGAAAAAGAACUCAUCAAGUACAAGAGAACCCAGAAGAUUAACAGCUGACUUCCCAUCAGAAACAAUGAGACUGGAAGGCAGUGGCAUGAUACAUUUAAAGUGCUGAAAUUUCAAAAAUAGGUCUCCCAAGAAACUUAUAUCCAGAAAAACAAUGUUUCAAAAACGAAAGCAAAAUCAAGACCUUCCCAGAUAAAUAAAACUGAGAGAAUUUGUUGCUCUCACAAUAUCUUAUAAGAAAUACUAAAGGAAGUUCAGGCUGAAAGCAAGUGACCACAGACAGUAAUAUAAAUCUAUGUGAAAAAGAAAAGAGCACUGAUAGAGAUAAUAACAUAAUUGUAAAACACAAUAUAAAUGCAUGUUUCUUCUUCUCUCUAUUAGCUUAUUUAAAAAGCAUCUCUGUAGGAGCACCUGGGUGGCUCAGUCAGUUAAGCGUCCGACUUCAGCUCAGGUCAUGAUCUUAUGGUUCGUGAGUUCGAGCCCCGCAUCGGGCUCUGUGCUGACAGCUCAGAGCCUGGAGCCUAGAGCCUGCCUUGGAUUCGGGGUCUCCUUCUCUCUCUGCCCCUCCCCCACUUGUGCUCUGUCUCUAUCAAAAAUAAAUACAUAUUUAAAAAAUUUUAAAAAUAUAAAAUGCAGCUGUGUCAAGGUGCCUGGCUGGCUUAGUUGGUAGAGCAUGUGACUCUUGAUCCGGGGGUUGUAAGUUCAAGCCCCAUGUUAGGUGUGGAGCUUACUUAAAACUAAAAUCUUAAUAAAAAUAAAAUAGAAAAAGCAGCUGUGACAAACAAUAUGCAUGUAAUUGUAUUUGGUGGUCUAUAAUGUAGAAAUGCAAUCUAUUUGCUAAUGGCAAAAAGGAGGUGGGAGCAAAGCUAUAAUGUAGUAAGGUAACGACACCAUAUGCUAACUGAAAGCAAGAGCAACAAAUGAAGAGAACCGGAAAUGACAAAUCAAAUAGUCGAUAAAACAAACUCUACAAAUAUGUACUUGCUCUCCUUUCCUCUCUCAGUUUCUUAGAAAGACAUCAAUUAUGUAAAGUAAUAAUUACAACAUGUAUUUUGGAAGUGGUUACCUAGAUAUGGUAUGCAUAAUGCAUAACAAGAGCAGCACAAAAGAAGGGGCAGAAACAACAGAGCUAUAUAGGAGCAUCUUUUUUGUAUUUCACUGCAAUUCAGUAGAAAUCUGAUCUAGAGUCUGCAAAUUAAGAUACAGAUGGUAAGUCCUAGAUCAGCCAAUAAGAAAAUAACUCAAAAAUAUGUAUAGUGUAAUGUCACACUAGAAAAAAAAAUCAUGAAUGUGAAAGAAAGAAUAGAGGAACAAAAUGUUGUGGCUUGAUUUACAUCCCCCUAAAAGUCAUACGGUGAAGUCCUAAUCCCCGAUACCUCAGAAUGUUACUUUAUUUGGAGGUAGGGCCAUUAUAGAGGGAGUACAGCUAAAAUGAGGUCAUUAGGAUGGGCCCUAAUCCAAUACAACUAGUGUCCUUAUAAGAAGGGAAAAUUUGGACACACAUACACAGAAGGAAGAUGAUGUGAGUAGAUACAGGGCAAAGACAGCUAAGUUAAAGCCAAGGAGAGAGGGCUGGAAUGGACCCUUCCUCCCUCACAGCUCUCAGAAAGAACCAACCCUGUUGAUAACUUGAUCUCAGAACUUCAGGCCUCCAUGUGUGAGACAACAAAUUUUUGUUGUUUAAGCCCUCCAGUUUGUGGUACUUUGUUAUGACUGCCUUAGAAAAAUAAUGUCUACAUAGAAAACAAAAAGUAAAAUGGCAGAUGUAAAUCUAACUCUAUCAAUUGUGACAUUAAGUAUGAAUGGAUUAAACAUUCCAGUCAGAAAGCAGAGACUGUCAAACUGAAUAAAAAGACAAGACCCAAUUAUAUGCUAUCUAUAGAAGAUACCUUUUAGAUUCAAAGAUAAAAAUAAAUUAUAAGUAAAAGGAUGGAAAAAAAGAUAUAUCUUACCAACAGUAACCAUAAGAAAGCUGUUGUGGCUAUAGUAUUAUCAGUCAACAGAGGCUUUGAAACAGAAAGUGUUAAUAAAGAUAAAGAGAGACAUUUAAUUAUUACAAAAGAGUCAACCCACCAAGAAAGAUACAGCAAUUACAAACACAUACACACCUAAAAACAAAGCCUAAACCACAUGAAGCAAAAACUAACAGAAAUGAAGGGAGACACUGAAAAUCAACAAUGGUUGGAGGCCUUAAUACUCCAAUUUCAAUAAUGAAUAAACCAAAUAGGCAGAAGAUGAACAAAAAGAAGAGUUGAACAACACUACAAACCAGUUAGACCUAAGGGAGACUCUCUCUACCAACAACAUCAUAUGUGUUUGUUUUGCAAGUGCACGAGACAAUCCCCACAAAUACAUUAAAUGAUAAAACAAGCCUUGAUAAAUUUAAGAGGACUGAAAUUACAAAAAUGAUCAUCUCCACAAUGGAAUCAACUUUAAAGUCAAUAACAGAAAGAAAUUCGGGGAAUUCAGAAAUGAGUUGAUAUUUAAAAACACUCUUAAAUAUCCAAUAGGUCAAAGAAGAAAUCACAAAGGAAAUCAAACAAUACUUUGAUGGAUAAAAAUUAAAAUACAAUAUAGGAAAACAUAUGGGACAGUUAAAAUAGUAGAGAGAGGGAAAUUUAUAGCCUAUGUUAGAAAUGCCUCUACACAAUAACCUAACAUUCCACUUUAAGACACUAGACAAAGAAGACACACAAACUUUAAAACAAACAAACAUAGACAUAUAAUAAAGAUUACAGUACAAUCAAUAAAAUGGAAAAUAGAAAAACAUAACUUCACUAAAGAAUUCUAUCAAACAUUUAAAAAGUAUCAGUAUCAAUACUUCACAAAUUCUUCUAAAAAAUAGAAGAGGAAGGAACAUUUCUCAACUCACUUUAUGAGGUCAGUAUUACCUUGAUACCAAAACCCGACAAAUAUCACAAGUAAACUAUAGAUCAGCAUCUCUUAUGAAUAGACACAAAAAUCGCUAAGAUAUUAGCAAACCAAAUCAAGCAACAUGUUAAAAAAGUUAUGUCAUUAUCAAGAUAUAAAAAGGAUUAUACAUCAUGAGCAAGUAGUAUUUAUCCCCAAGAGAUAUAAAACUGGUUCAACAUCCAAAAAUGAUUUACAUAUUAAUAAAAAUAAAUGACAAAACACAUCAUAAUCUCAAUAGCUGCUGAAAAAGGUAAAAAUGAAAAAAAUCAAACAUCCCUUUGUGAUAAAAAAAAAAAAAAAAAAAACACCUAACUAACUUGGACCAGAAAGGAACAUCCUCAAUCUAAAAAAGAACACCUAUGAAAACACCAAAGCUAAAGGGAACUGACAGGAAAAUUCUGCCAUCUGUUAAGUAGGUCUAUUCCAGUUAUGCAUUAUUUAACUGGGGAAAUCACCACCCACUGGACCCACUGCAAGAUGGGCCUGACUUAAAACUCCAUUGACCUAACUUCCAUAAGCUCUUCCUGCGAUUGAUGGGGCACAGUCACAGAUGUUGGGUGUCUUGUACUUAGUUCAAAGCCACUGUCCAGUAGUCCCCAAAGGGUCUGAUUACUUCUUUCCCCCAAGUAUACAGCUACUGUAUUAAAAAGGCUAUAGGUCCCUCUAGGGAGACUGGAAGAAAGAUUAACAAUAUAACCUUUUGGUAGUCCUAAAUUCUUUCUUCAAGGGGAAAUCCCCCCCCCCCAACUUGUUUAAUUGGUUCUGGGUCUGUAAGUUGGCUCCAGUCUGGGAAUUGAUUGAGGGGCCAUGACUCUGCCUUUAGGAUUCAGGUUGAACUUUUUGGUUCAUUCAACUCAAAAUUUUUCUGCUUCUACCAAUAAAGAAUUUAGUAGGCUUCCUACUUAUUUUACUUCUAGCUCACUCUAAUUAAUCAUCCAGAGCCAUAGUCCUAUACGAGUCAGACUACUUAUUGCUGCUUUGACUCUCCUGUCCAUUGCAGUAGCCAUCUCACUUGGCCUUUGGUGGUGAGGGUUUCCAGCUACUCUCACUCUCACUGCAUAUCAGUUUUCCAUUUCAGUGACUUCAGUUUCUAUGGGGGAUGUCUGGCCUACAGAGAAGAGUGAUAGCACAGUUCCCCUCACACAUCGAUUCCUCAGAGCACUGGUGCAAGGUGUACAUUUUGGCCCCUUCCAGUGUAGGUGAGUAGGUCUGAAAUGACAAAUACACUCUAACAUUCCAGUCUCUCCCAGUCUUCGAAUCCCUUGCCCUAUAUUAAACCAAGGAAUGUCUAACAUUUCCAAUUCACUCAUGGUGAGCCAUAUUUUGGUCCAUGUUUCAUCAUGGAAACAUGAAAAGAAAAAAUCUGAACGCAUCCCUCCUAAUAUCAGGAACAAGACAAGGACAAGUUCUCACACCACUGCCAUUCAACAUACUAGUGUAGGGCAAUUAGACAGUUAAAUUCUCCCCAGGACAAUUACACAACAAAAUGAGAAAAAAGUGAUCAGAUUAUAAAGGGAGAAGUAAAGCUAUCUCUAUUUGCCCAUGACAUCGUCAUGUAUACAGAAAAUACUAAUGAAUCCACUAAAAACCAUUAGGACUAGCAGAGGUGUUCAGCAACGUGGCAGGGCUCUAAGAUCAAUACACAAAAAUCAAAUGUGUUUCUACAUAAUAGUAAUGAAUAAACCAAAAAUGCAAUUAAAAAAUAACUUCAGGGGCGCCUGGGUGGCGCAGUCGUUUAAGUGUCCGACUUCAGCCAGGUCACGAUCUCGCGGUCCGUGAGUUCGAGCCCCGCGUCGGGCUCUGGGCUGAUGGCUCAGAGCCUGGAGCCUGUUUCUGAUUCUGUGUCUCCCUCUCUCUCUGCCCCUCCCCCGUUCAUGCUCUGUCUCUCUCUGUCCCAAAAAUAAAUAAACGUUGAAAAAAAAAUUAAAAAAAAAUAAAUAAAAAUAAAAAAAAUAAAAAAUAACUUCAUUUACAAUGGCAUCAAAAGGAAUAAAACACUUAGGAAUAGGUUUCACAAGAGAAAUGCAAACAUUAUACUCUGAGUACUACAAAAUACUGCUGAAAGAAAUUAAAGACCUAAUGAAACAAAGUAUCCCAUGUUCAUGCGUUGGAAGACUUAAUAUUGUUAGUAUACCAAUACUCUUCAAAAUGAUCUGUAAGCCCUAUCAAAUCGAAACUGGCUUUUUAAAUAGAAAUGGACAAGCUGAUCCUAAAACUUAUAUGGAAAUUUAAGGGACCUUAGAAGAGCCAAAACAAUCUUGAAAAAGAACAAAACUGAAAGACUUACACUUUCCAAUUUUAAAAUGAACUACAAAGGGGUGCCUGGGUGACUCAGUCAGUUAAGCGUCUGACUUCGGCUCGGGUCAUAAUAUCACAGUUUGUGAGUUCGAGCCCCAUGUCAGGCUCUGUGCUGACAGCUCAGAGCCUGGAGCCUGCUUUGGAUUCUGUCUCUCCUUUUGUCUCUGACCCCCACCCCCAAUUGUGUUCUGUGUCUCAAAAGUAAAUAAAUGUAAAAAUAAAUAAAAUAAAAUACAAAGUUACCAUACUCAAAACAAUGUGAUACCAGCAUAAAGACAAACAUACAGAGCAAGUGAAUAGAAUUGAAAGUCCAGAUUUUACUCUCACACUUCUGGUCCAUUGAUUUCAAAAAAGGUAGUAAGAUAUUCAACAAAGGAAGGAAUAGUCUUUUCAACAAAUGAUGCUGGGACAACUGGAUAAUCAUAAGCAAAAGAAGUUGGAUCCCCUAACUCACAUUAUAUAUAAAAGUGCAACAACAUAAAUGUAAGAACUAAAAGUAGACAAUACUUAGAAAAAUAUCACAGGUAUAAAUUUUCAUGACCUUGGGUUAGGCAAGGUUUUCUUAAAUAUGACUAAAAGCUCAAGCAACGACAAAAAUAGAUAAGUUGGACUUCAUCAAAAUGUAAAGCCUUUGUGCUACACCAUUAAGAAAGUUAGAAGACAGUCUAUAAAAUAGGAGAAAAUAUUUCCAAAGUAUAUAUUUGAGGAGUGAUAAAGAACUCUUACAACUCAAUAAUAAUUAAAAACCGGUUAAAGAGUAGGCAUAGGAUCUGAAUAGACAUUUUCCCUAAGAAGAUUUAUAAAUGGCCAGUAAGCACAUGUAAAGUUACUUGACAUUAGCAGUCAUCAGGGAAAUGGAAAUUAAAAUUACAAUGCAAUAUCACUUCCUUCCACUUUUUUGGAUAUUAUGAAGAAUGCUGCUAUGAACAUUCAUGUGCAAAUUAUUGUGUGAACAUAUGUCUUCAUUUUUCUUGACUGUAUACCUAGGUAUCAAAUUUCUGGGCAACACAACUACUGUUUAACCUUUUUAGAAACUGCCAGACUGUUUUCCAAAACAACUGUACCAUGUUUCAUUCCCAUGAGCAGUGUAUGAGAGUUCUAAUCUCAUCUACACUUGUUUUUCCUUUUUAAUCCUAGCCAUCCUUGUGGAUAUGAACUCAAGUGUCCAUUAACUGAUGAAUGAAUAGAAUGUGGUAUAUCCAUACCGUGGAAUACUAUUCAGCCACAAACAAGAAUGAAAUACUAUACCUGCUACAACAUGGAUGAAUCGUGACAAAAUUUUGCCAAAUGAAAGAAGCCAGUCAUAAAAUGUCAUAUAUUGUGUGAUUUUCUUCACAUGAAAUGUCCAGUUGAGCCAAGUAAUGGAGAGACAGAAAGUACUUUUGUGGUUGCCUAGGGGUCGGGGCCUUGAGGGCAUAUGGGGAGACUGCUAAUGGGCCUGGGGUUUCUUUUAGAAGUAAUAUAAAUGUUAUAAAAUUGAUUUGUGGGGCACCUGGCUGGUUCAGUUGGUACAGCACACAAUUCUUGAUCUCAAGGUCGUGAGUUCAAGCCCCACAUUGGGUGUGGAGCCUACUUAAAAAAUAUAAAAUUGAUUAUGAUU
rnacentral:lncRNA from 1 species